UUUUUUUUUUUAAAUUUUUAUAUCUAUAUUUGGGAUAGAUAGUAUUACCUUAUCCUCGGACAGGUCCUCAUCCACUAAGUUCUGGCCACCUGCCCAUUUACCCCCAAUGUUUCCUAUUUUUUAAAGAAUGUUUUGAUUCUCCACCUGUCAAAAAAGCAGCUCUUUAGAUAACUUCUUUUUAAGAUUCCGGGAAAAUAAACCCUUCAAAAUAAUUUAUUUUCACAAGUUGACCAACGUCAAUUAGGGAAAUGAUGAAUAUUGGGGUUGUUUAGGCUAAGGGCUUACACAGCCCCCCAACUUGUCCAUUGCCAAAAGAGACUCCAACAGCCAGGAUUUUGAUUUUGAUUUAGUGUGCCAUAAAUGAUACAGUUUGUGUGAUUUGGACAAUUAGAAGAAGGGUGUGGAAUGAAUGAAUUGCUAAGAAUAUGAUAGCAUUGGUGAGACUUUCGUGAUAUAUAAAAAUUAUCUUUAGCAUGCCCCCUCAAGCUCAAAUUGGUAGUGUAGAUUAACUUGAGUAUAAAAGUAAUAUCAAAGACCAAUCCAAGGUGUAGAUGGUACCAUGAACCCAAACAAUAUCAUUAUGUAACAACACCGUUUGAAAAGCCAACACUGUCUAAAUGAACUUUUCAAAUAGAUCAUAUGAAUAUGUAAUAACUAAUGUCGUUUGAAAACUGGCAUUGUUGAAUUUUAUCUUCAAGUGAAUGAUGCAUAAAGAGGACUAUGUUAUUUGGUAGCAAGGGCGGUUUAAAUUAGCUUUCGGAUAGAUGGUGAGACACCGUCGGAAAAGGGUGCGAUGCAGUGCAUCUUGUGAAGACAACUGCAUGUUAGGGACACCCAAUUGGUUGCGUGUUGGGGCCUAUGCAGACAAGGCCAAUAGAGUAUGUGGUGAGGCCCUUCGUGGAGGACCCUAUGUUGGUUCUUGGGGAAAAGCGAUUGCGGUAGAGAGAACUCAUGAAAACAAGCUUGUGGCUUUGAAGAGAGGUUCACUGAGUUGACAGAAGUGUGUCAUUGGGCGUCCAUCCCAGCGUACACUCAGUUGUUCCACGGGUGCCACGUGCACCCAACGCACUCGAAAAUUCCCUCAAGGUCUCCAAACUUCGAUACCAACGUAGAAAAUGAGAAGAAGACGGAACGGUUGAGUUACUUACAUGACUCAUCAACGAGACCUCCAUGAUAGACGGACGGAAUUUGAUUCCAGUUCGUGAGCACUCAGAAGGAACCUAAAAAAUCUAGGAAUCCCUGCAUAAGACAUUUACAUAGCGCAAUGUCAACAUUCAGACAUCACCCGUGACAAUAAUUAUGAUGGUUACAGGGAAAUGAAUUUGAUGACGGAAUCGGGACAGGGCAGGCCCUACCCCCCUUUCGAAUAAGCUGGGACGAUGGAAUUGCUUGGAGGAUAUGUAAAGCCUUUUGGGAGGAUUCUCCAAGAUAUCCUGCCACUCACUUUGGAUGGCCCUGCUCUCAAGUCUGUCCGAAAGAGAACAGAAGCGAGUGGGUUGUCAAAUUGGGCCUGCCUAGCGGCAGACACAAUCAUCCCUCGCGAUGCCGGUCCGGCCCAUGCCUGCGAGCGUGGAUCGUACUGAUUUGAUGCCUGAGAGGUCCAGUGAAACCGGUUCCUAAUCGUGAUUAAGAACGUCGAACGGGGUUUAACCCUCUGAUCACAUUUUCCUAAGAGCCCCCUAGAAGCUCUCCCAAGAACCCACUUGGAUCCGCUCGUGAUUUCACGAGCAUACCCACUUUUGAUCAGAGUCUGCACAGCCGAUCCGAAUCGGGACGCCGGCAAUAUCAUGCGCAUUUCACCAUGAUGAUGGGUCGGGGCGAUGGUUGGAGAUAAAGUGAGUAGACAACCAAGGCGACGAGGGCUCAAAAAGAAAAGGUGACUUUAUGGUGCCUGCCUAUAUAAGCCGAGGCAGAUAAAGAGGCACGACUACUGGAGCUCCGGCACUUAGCAUCAGUACAGAAGAUAGCAACAAAUCGAACAGGAAAAGCGUCUCUCUUUUCUCUGUAGUUUUGGAUAUGGUUUGGCACUUUCAUGACCCACGUUACAUGCGGAACGCUCGAUAGGAUCUCUUCCGCACGCUUCUCUCGGCUUAUCCUUUCUCUAUAUAUACUCAAUUCUCAACUCACUUUCCCAUAUCACGAGAAAUACUUGCACAGAAUCUGAAGAAAGAACAACUGCUCUGUCUAGAUUUGCAUAAUGUGUGCAUUCGAGUACACGCAUCCUGAUGCUGAAAACAAGAGGCCACCGAGACUGAAGCUGUUCGGCGUCCCCGUCGCUGGGUCCGAUGAGACGCCGGUGAUGGCACCGUGUGAUGGAGAAAUCAGGAAAUUCGAGUGCCAAUAUUGCCGCCGGGAGUUCCUGAACUCUCAAGCGCUGGGCGGCCACCAGAAUGCACACAAGAGAGAACGACAGCGGGCCAGGCGAGCCCAGCUCAUCAGCGACCGUCAUCAACGGCCGUUGACGAUAGGGGGUCCCAUCGUAUCUACACAUGCGGCGGCAUUUGGACCAUUCAUUCACUCCGCCCAGAGAGUGCACGGCGGAUUCGCCACGUUGGCUAGGUUCCACAGUGGACCGCCCCCGCCAAUUCCAAUGCAGUCGCAUGGCGAUCCCGGCCAAUCUUAUGUUGUACGGGCAGAGUAUAUACGAGCCAUGGGUCGUAGCAGCAGGCCCAUGGAAUCUCCCCAAGUUGAGACAAAUGAAGUUGGGGUUGACCUACGCUUAAGCUUAGCAUCAACCUCCAAAGCAUCAUAAACCGGCAAGAUUUCUGGCUGCAGCGUGAGUUUAACUAAUUUUCUGGAGACUUAGUCUCUCAGGCAUCGUCUGAGUUUAUGCUAUGCUAUAUACGCUCAUUUUCAUCAAUAAUGUAUUCAACCAUAUUAGUAAUAUCAUUUUUGUCCCUAAAUCCAGGAGGCCAAUUCCUGCGACCGAAUCCGUUAUGCAAUUAUGUUCUCGACCUCAAUUAUACAGGGAAUUGAAAUGGUAAAAACAAAUGAACAUGCUCUACAUUUCCCGUUUAUGAUUUCAAAAUCCCAGUUGAAUUUACAAUCUCAUUCACAAAGGGAGAUAUAUUGUUAAUUUACCUAUACCUUUCUCCCAUCUAUUUGCCGUCUCACCGGAGAUCAACCACUUCAAACUUCAACUUAGAGUUCAUAUAGACAUGCGAACAGUGUUCAUAAAUGGGGCUACCAUCCGAAGGCUCCUCAUGUGGGUGAAACCCGCGUUCUUGGCAAUUGCGAAUCACAUUGACACCUCCCGGGUCAGAAAGAUGGAAUAUCCCAUGUGGACUGUAAGUUGAAACGCAUGAGUAGUAAGCACGCUAACUGGUAACUAGCCGAAUGAAAAUUUAAGAGCGAACACAUCCACUUCCUAACCAAUUAGAAAGGAGGACUGAAUGCGUAAGAUUACCUGGACGUGUCUGUAGGUGCCAUUACAAUCGCAAUUGCCUCAGGCAACAUAAUCUACAAGUCCAGAAAGCAAAUCUUAUCAGGAGAUUAAACCCAUAAUUUGAUACCAUAUUUAUAGUAAUGAACCUAUCUAAUAACCUCAAAUUUACUUCCCUUUGUUAUUGAGGUUAACUAAGAGACAGUACCUAGCCUUAAGAAAGUUGUAGAAGCAGAUUAUACUGCUGUUAUCUUAAAAAGAAGCACUCUUGUUUGUUAAAUAAGUUAUACAUUUACUCCAAAAUCAUGGAUGACUAUGAAUACUUGUUCUUAAAAACAAUCCUGCAAAUGGACAAACUUCAAGUUGAACAGCUAAGACUACAGUAUACAUUUUAGAAAACAAUUUGACUGUAGCUUUAACAACAUGGCAUGGCAUCAGACAGAAUGAACAAAAUAAUUACCUGAUAUGAAUAAUGUGUGUGGAGAUCCACUGAUGACAUGAAGCAGGUCUGAGAUGGAUGUGUCUGUAAAUUAUGAAAGUACCUUAGGUAUCAGGUACUGGAGCGUGAAAAAAAAAUCUUGACUGAUUGUAAAAGUACAUUAAAAAAAGAACACUAUACGAUAAACUGAGCAUAUGCAUCUCCUGAAACAAUUGCCCUAAGAAUUCCUUCCCUAUUAACUGGCAGUAUUAGCUGUGGCAGGACUGACAGGGGUUUCAAUAAAGAGGGAGUUGAGCAGGCUGCUAGGAAAUGGAAAUGAAAAACGAGAGAUACUUUUUUUUUUAGAAAUAUGGAUAAAUGGAAGUUUAACUCCAAACCAAGGGGCUUUACAAGGAGAAGAACCAUAAUUAAGUUAUAUUCACACUAGUUUGUAAAAAUUAGAAAGAAUGAAUUUAUAUAUUCACAAUUCACAGUGGUAACAGGUAAACUGCCAAAUAUUGAGAUACGCGCAAGGUGAACUCCCAGUUGUAACGCACAACCACAAAACUAAAGUCAUAGGAAAAAAUCAGCAGGUUACCAAAGAGAGAACAGACUAAUGAGGAUUGUAAUAGUAGCUAGACAGAAUUGGCAAAGUAGAAUGUAGAAAAACUAAAGAAUAUGACACUCAGUGUCUACUCUUACAACUAUUCACAUUGAAAUUCUCAUCCCUCCUCCACCUUGUGUAUUCAAAGUCACAUUUCUAGUUUCUAUUAUUCAAAUAAUCCACUUUUAUAGUACCCAGAAGAAUUAGAUAAAAGAAAAUCUUUGAAUCUACAUGUUUGUAUCUUUCAAACAGAUGAUAUGCAUAAUGAUUCAAUCAAUCCAGAUUUGUCUUAAUUUGCAGUAAGUCUAGAAGUUAAUGAUUUUGUUUCCUAUUUGAAAAUUUUGUGAAUAUCUAUCCCAAGUGCCAAUCUGCAGUGUCACUUUUCCAUAGAAUCUGACAGACUUCAAAUCACGUUUUCUUCUUUAAUACCAUCCACUGAGAUUUGCCUCAACAAAAGCUUGCUUCUAAGCCACUCUCAGAAAUAUUCUCAACAAUGAUUUUCACCAUCUAAGGAUUUGUAUCCACUAGUCUUUCCUCAAUUAUCUAAAAUAAGUAGAUGCCUUGAACGUAUGUAGUUUGACAACAUCAAGCAGGACUUGCAAAAUCAAGGAAUAUUCUAAACAAAGGAAUGGAGACAUAAAUGGCAGAAAUCCAGAAAAAUUGGAUAAAGUCAGUGAUAAUGAAGAUGACAGAAUGGUCUAUAACACUUACAUGAAUCCAUCCAAGAGGGAAGAGUGAUAAUCUGUCCUGAACUUCAAAUAUUUCUUCUUCAUUCAACGUCUGACACUGAACAUCAGUACAACAAAAGUUAGGGUACAUAAAAAAAUAACUAGGAUGACAGAAAACUUGUAAUCAAAAGAAAAGAUGGAUCAAUUCUCCCAAGUAAUAAUGUACUCUCAAAAGACCAAUUUCCUAGUGUCAUCAUUCAGCAUCAAAUCAAGCUACCCAUAAGCAAUUGCAAAGUUAAUUAUUUAGUGACAGGCAGCUCCUUCUGUAACUGGUAAGUUAUGCUGAACUAAUAACAGACUAAGAUAAAAAGUCAUAAGCCAAUUGCCACAUUGCUACAUUGAAGGAAAUGAGCAGAACAGUCAAACUUGAAUACCGGAUUAGAGAUAUACCGAAUCUGAAGUGGACUCUUGCUUUGGAAUAAUGAGCGUAGUAAUAUGGAAAACCCUGUUUUUCUACAGCAAAUAAGGAACAAGUCAAUUUUAAUGCUCGGCAACCUCAAUUCCAGGAUGAGAAAUAAACAAUAAAGAAAGCCCCAAAAAAAAGGGAAGUACGGGUCUUACCAGUGAACCUGCAAGAACCCCACAAGUUUCCAAGUUCUUUGCAGUAUUUUUUUUAGCCAAUCGCAAAAAGUCUUGCAUCAUAUUUACAGGCUGGGGUGCAAAUCAAGCAGGAAAACAAGAAAGAAAAAUCAUCAUCAUGGAGAGAAACAAUCAGGACAGGUUUUGUCCCAUGAAGUACAAAAGUUUGUUUUUGACAGCUAGGAGAACAUGAAAAUCGUUCAAGAAAGAUAUAUUACAUCAUCAGGACAGCAAACUCACCACAUGCAGAUUUUGAUAAGAGCUUUCACUAUGCUGCAAAGAUUUUGCAGGUCCAGGUCUUGGAUCUGCAACUUGAGAUGGGGGGAUAGGAGCAACGCCCUGCCGAACCUGAGCAAGAACAGGUGGUGGAGCAGGUUGCUUGAUACUGACAAACUGGAAAGGAUCUUCCAUUACUUCUGUAGCUAAUGCAGGCCUAGACUGUUCAGCAGGACGUGACCAUGUACCAUCAUCCAAGGAGAGCACUGAAUCCAUUGUAGAUCUAGGUGACCCUCGAUCAUUAUCUUUGACUGCCAUAUGAUCGUAUUGACCAGCAUGAUUGAGGCUGUUUCAUCAUUCACAAACAAAAAUAGAGCUAUUGGAGCAGCCUCAUAUAGGAAAUAUAAAAAGGAAUGAAAGAAUACAUUCAUUGAUUUAAUCCAUUCUUGUGCAAAAAUUAGAAUGGGAGUAAAAAACUGAAUGCGGUAGCUUAUCGUUGCAACAAAUAAAAUGCUCAACAAGUUCAAACCUCAACUCUUCUGCAGGGUUGAAGUCUGCACUGCAUGGAUAUUGGACCUGUAGUUUCAAGCAACUAAGUCACAUCAUCUUUGCACAAUAUCGCAUGCAAAAAGUGAGAAUAAUAUAAGGAGGUAUAUUACCUUUAUCUCUGCACUGGGUCCUAGCCACUGGCCCUGAAGGCCAUUUGGGCCUAAUAUAGAGUGUCUAGACAAUGUUUCCUUUUUGGGAACUGGAAGACUAACAGAACUGCAAAAUCCUAUCAUAAAAUUAGUGUUUCAUACUAAUAUGCUAUUGCAGCAUGCAAUAUAAUGUAGAUGUAUUCUCACAAAUAGAAGAAGAAGAUGACAACAAAAAGGUGAAGCAAAGCAGGUUAGGGAUCAGAUACUUAAGGAGAGAAGCAGCUGCUUUAUCCAAAGGGCAGAUCAGUGUUAUGAUCAAUGUAAACCAUCAAAUAAUUUAGCAAUAUACAUAAUAGACCUGAAGCAAGGACAAUGCUCCAUUACGUAGGUCACAGUCAUCUAGUUUCAUGCUUAAAGCAAUGAACCGAGGCAAUUUAGCAUCUUGACAAGUUUAAUCCAUUUUGCUUUAGUUUGAGUCAACCGCAGGCCCUAGGGCAAAGGUUUGCUAUCAUUCUAAGUUUCAUGCGUUACCUUUUCAUCAGAUUCAUUACUGAGAACUCCAUGAAAACAGAGACAUUUGAACUCGUCUAUGCAAACACAGCCAGGUGCUGCUCUCAAAUGAUUUCUUCAUAAAUAUCCCUAAAUCUAUAAACCCCACUAUGGACCAAUGAAGUGUUCAAAAUUGAGCAAUGUGGAACAAAAUUGGCCGUAACCCUUGAUCACAGUCCAUUUUGAAUAUUUGUACAGGAUAUGCCGAGAAAAAGUAGUAACUCUGGCAGUAUCCUCCAAUACAAUCGAAACCAUAGAUACAAAAUUAUGCAAGCCUUACAAAACACAAGAAAAACAAUCAAGCAGUCGCAUAAGCUUACAUCUCCAGCCAGAUAUCACUUUAUAUGCUUAUAAUGAGAAGGGGGAAUAAAGAAAAAAAAAACAAAAAAAACCAAGAAGUAACCCAAUCAUAUCAGACCAUUCAUCUAAACGAAAAGAACAUGAUAUAAAUAAUCUUAACAAUACUCACAGCUUCUGGAACUGCUUGUCAACUCGCAUGGUAUUCAAUGAUGAACUCUGAGUUUGGUCAUUUUGAUAUUUCCAAAGAGAAGAAGAUGCCAAGCUAUCAGUCUGCAGUAAACAACGAGGUCAAUCAGAUAAUGCCCACAUUUUCAGAAGAAACGGACAAAUCACUAUUCAAGGUUAAUCUUUCAAACAGUGAGAUUCUCUGGCCUAAAAAGGCAAGGAAAAGUUACAGUGUGAAAGAAAAUUUCCCAUCAAAGCAAGUUUUUGUACAAUGUACAUGCCAAAAUCAAAGGAGGGCUAUGUGAUUGUACUGGGGUUGUACAUCAGAAAAGCCUUCUUUAACCUUCUUAUCUGUGCCUGAGUAAGAACUCCUACUGGUGGAGGUCCAUUCCAGUGGAAGUGUCCUAGAGGCAUAUGCAGUUCUCUCUGAAUUGCCAAAAUCAAGCAUUUGCGACUUUUGCGACCCUGCAUCAGCUUCAUUUAACUCAUCCACUCGACGCUGGAAUUCUGGUUUCAAGGAUUCAAGCUCGGCUACGACAUCAAACAAUUUCUGCGGAGAUAAGGCAAGAAUGAACUUAAAAAUGUUGUCUAACUUUCUCAAGUUAGAUGAAUGAACAAUGUGCACCAAUAUACUUCACCUUUCUAUAAAUCGACCUUUCUUUAGGACGCAAAAGCUGGUAAUCUCGAUGAAACGGUAUAGUUUCAGACACCAAACUGAAAGAUAUCAAAAGAUAUCAAAGAUAUGAUGCAUCUGUACUUUCAAUAAAGGAACAGAACCAAAGUAAUGGCCUGGCACAAAGCCUUUUACCUUGAAAACCUCAGAAGGAUGAUAUACAAAUCCACAAUAUUAUUCUCCUCCCGGUACACACUUGCCUAGACGGUAAAUGAGAAGAUACAGAUAAUAAGAAAGUGCUAAGAAUACCAUACCCCAGGAAAAAUAGCAUAGACAACAACAAAAUAUGAUGCUCAUGAUACUCCAAAGGAAACCUGAAGGCGGAACUAUUUCCUAUUCUAAGUAGCAAUAAAGCACAAGGAAUGUUUUGGGAAAGGGGAAUGGAGUAUCAAGGAAGUUAGGACCGGCUGAAAGAAGGACGGCGGGGAAAGUUCUCUAAGAGCUAAUCCAACUCAUUUUAAAUUGCAUCAUCCCCUGUUAAGACCCGUCAUUCCAACAAAUUGAAGCUAAUCUUUUUUUUCCAAGUUCCAUUACCUCUUGGAUCUCAAAGACUUCGACAGGCACUUAAACAUACCCGCUGUCCUUCAGACUUCCCACACGGAUUGAUGCUAAACUAAACUCUGCGCAAUCCCCAUUAUUUAAUAAGCAAAUGUACCACUCACGUAUGCCUAUAUCAUACAGCGAUAGCUGCACGGAAAAACGCUACAAAAUACCAAAUCAGCAACUCCGCGAAUCGGCCUCUACUACUAACACGGUCAUCGAAGAAUCACGCGACACCGGCAGGCAUUCUUCGCACGAGAAAGACGCACCCACGAGCCCAGCUCGUUCUCGACCUAAGGGCAAUCAAAAAGAAGAAAAGAAGGCAAAAAAAAAACCCUCCCCAAACUCUCCGAUUCCGAAUCGCGACAAAAACCGAUUUCGACGCGAACAAAGGCGCGCGGAAUCGGGCGCGCCGAACGCGGCGAGGAGAGGCCGGGAGGCACCUGCUUGAGGAGGUUGUCGGCGAUCCGGUAGUAGUAAUGGAGGGGAAUGCGAUUGUCGACCUCGACCCUCCGAGCGAUCGAGUUGACGUUGAUCUUCAUCGUCCUCCCGUCCGGCGAAGGUUGCCGGCGCGGCGCUGCGGCGACUCCGAUCCCGUUCGCUGCCGGAAGGAAUCUCUCUCUCUCUCUCUCUCUAAAAGCGGAGAUCAAUGGGGGAAGACUUGUCCGCUAAGGAAAGGAGGCCGGGGGAGAGAGCAGGUUCUUCUCGCAAUCUCGCAUGUCGACAUGGUGCUGAUCUCUCGUUUUUUCUUUUUUUUCUUUUUUUAAAUCAUUAUUGUUAUUAGUAGCAAAAUUGGGUUUUUGUCAUUUUAAUUUAUUUGAAAAGCUUUAUGGUAUGGCCGCUGGUUUAUAUAAUGCCAUGAUAUUCGUUACUAUUAUUUUUUCUUUCAUUACGAUUGUAUUAUCUUUUUAUUAAGAGUGAGUGGAUGAUAUGUCGAUUAACAUUAAUUUUGUGACUAUUCAAGUUCGAAUUUUUCUCGAUAAUUAUAACUGUUAAGCGUAAUCGAUUCCCGAACAAUCCAAUUUCUAUUUAGGAUUGAUUUCGCUUUCUCUGGAAUUGAGAAUCGGAUUAUCACAAAUUGAAAUGUGACCUAAUUGGACCUCACCAAUCGGUCUGGCCCAAUUUUUGGGUGGAUAAAGAGUAUUGAUAGGAAAAAAAAAUGGUUCAAGGGACUCAAGUCGAUAAACAUAAUUUACAGUAGAACCGCAAAUUGACAUUGGCACCUCCUUGCUCGAUGGAUCCGCACCGUCCCACUCUAGCAUUUCUAAUUGGCCGUACAAGGAGAAGGGAGCAAUCCGAAGCGCAAGAGAGAGCAUAAAUCUCGAUCCUCGGAUCAUGAAGUGCAAUACCUCCAGAGCAACAAAAUCAUGGUGGCCACGAUAAUGGAUGCGAGUGACUCGAGCGAGAGGGUCUUAGACUCCGGCGAGACGGACGUGAGGCGCAAGCGACUCAGGCGAGAGGGUCGAGCGAGAAGACCUGCGAAGGCGAGGCGCGAAAAGUUAAAGAAGGCUGUGGGUUCAAAGUGGGUUUCCUAAUAACCUAUUUAAACUCAUUUAUUUUUGUGCUUUACUUUUUCAAACCCAUUUCUGACUCAAAUUUAAUUUUCACUUGACCUAUAUAUGAUCCAUUUAACUAAAAAUUGGUUAUAAUAAGGAUUUAUAACCCAUUUUGCUAGUUCUAGGCACGAUUAGGGCUUAGACUUGAAAAGAGCAAGGUAAUGACUAAACAUUUCAUCAAAUCAAAGUGGAGCCUUGUGAAGUCGAGGAGCAAUUGGGGCUUGGACUUGUGAAGGUGGCACCGGUCCGGUGCCCGAGAGUUGAGCGAGAGGGAGUGACUCAAGAAAGAGAUGGAAAGAGCGAGGCGUGAGAUUGAGAGUCAAGAGGAAAAUCGGAGGCGUGUGAGAUGUGAUUUGGUUUCUACGCACGUGGACAUCGGUGAUGUUCUUUAAAAAAUUAAAAGAAAAAAUAAAUUAAUCAAUCUGAGCGGUCUGAUUCCCACUUUUGAAAUAAAAAAAUUGGACCGCCCGACAUCAAUUUUAAUUUUAUGGAAUUGGGAACUGAAUUGACGCAUUUGGGAACCACUCAAAAUUAACCGAUCCGGUUCUGUCGGCUUCCGGUUCAGAUGAUUCUAUAUGCUCAUCCCUAGUACUUGAAUUUGAGUAUUGUCAUCAUUAAACAUUGUUCCCAUGGACUUGAUGUAACGCCAAUCGACUAGAUUAACCAUGCACGUUGGAGUUCGUUACGUUCCAAUGGUCAUAGAGAGUGUCGGUCCAACUUUUACACAAGGGUUUUUACUUUUUAGCACCUCUACUUGUAAUUUUUAUCGAUUUACCUAGGCUAAAUAAUUUCUACGAUGUUGCCAAUACUUCAAAAGAACACCUUCGUGAGUGUAUUCGAUUGAUAUGAAGUUACGUACUUGAUAUGCGUUUACCUAAUUACCAAUCCCGAGUUUUUAUGAAAUGUUGGAUCAUAUUUUCAUUUGUUUAUUGAAACCCGUGGAGUGAAACCUUUUCCUUGUAAAAGAAACAGAAUAAUUUGCUCAUAUUAAACCUUGUUUUUCAAGAAAUUAAUCAAGUUUUCUAAUGCGUAACGACACAUCAAUAGGCCAAAUCUCAGAAAAAAAAUCACAUAUUUACAAUCAGGAACGAAGUGACCUCUUGUCCAAUGGAUAAAAAUGACCACCGUUAUCCUUCUUAUUCAAAAUAUCCUAGAUUACGGUUGACGUGGCUAUAAUGCUCAAUUGGUGCACCGAUGUGGCAAUUUUAUCAUUUAAAAAGUUUAAAAAGCAAAUCAACAAAUUAAAAAAUUAAUGACGUUGGCCAAAAAAAUUCAAAAAUAAAUCUGAGUUUUAAGAAAUAAAAAACUUGUAAAAUAAAAAUAAGAAAACCGAAACAGGUAUGCUCCUUCACCACCUCCUCCUCUUGCCGGCUUGGCGCGUCAUCGCGGCGUCGUCCUCCUCUGUCUCCGCCCCAUGACAAUCAUCCCCGGCCACCGAUGCCGGCCCCCAACUGGUAUGCUCCUCCUCCUCCCACCAGCAACUUUAUCUUUUAGCAGUGUCAAAAUGUGAUAAUUUUAUUUCUACGGUGCUGUGACCGACGUUAUGCCCACGCAUAUGCAAGGUGUUAUUGCGACAUGAAGAAGGUAGUCGUUUAUGAUUCUUGGUUGAUUUACCAUAUGAUUAAUAUAUAAACCUUUGUCAGAGUCCAUUUCCAAUAUUGAGCAAUGUGGAACAAAAUUGGCAGUAACCCUUGAUCAGAGUCCAUUUCGAAUAUUUGUACUGGAUAUGCUGAAGAAAAGUUGUAAAUCUGGCAGUAUCCUUCAAUACAAUCCAAACCAUAGAUACAAAGUCAUGCAAGCCUCACAAUAACACAAGCAAAAACGAUCAAGCAGUGCCGUAAGCUUACGUCUCCAGCCAUAUAUCACUUCGUAUGCUUCUAGUGAGCAGGAAAAAAGAAGAAGCCACAAAAAACAAACAGCCACAGAAAGAAAUUGGACGUAGUAUAAGGGGCUGAAUUUGUCAGCAAAUUAACGGAUGCCUUCACCUUUGAAUCUGCCGCCACGGCCCUCUUCCGUGUUUCCUCAUUUUGUAUGGCGGAACACCCAGUAUUGAAGGACGGCAGCUCGGUUCGCAUGAGAAUAUCUCUUUUGGUCUCCCCAAAUUCAGGCUUGAGACUAGCAAUCCUGUCUUGUUCUUCCCGUUGAACAUGGUGGCGAACAUUUGGAGUAACACGUUUGUACGGCCGAAGUUCUUCCCACCGUUUCUUCCUUUUGCCAUUUGUGUCUUGCACGGCACCCUUGGUGGGGUUGCUAGAUUUGGCCAUGGAGCCGCAGCACGAACAACUGGAAAAAAAAAAAAAAAUAGCAACAAGAAUAAGAAACAAGAACGGGUCAAUUCACUCCCGCUCUGAUACCAUGUCGAAAACAAACAAAGAACAACUAAAGACAAGAAUUUAACAAGGUUCGCCAGUGUGCCACGUCCUUAACAAAACUCUCACGCUCUUUUUUUUUGUGUCGUGAGAGAUAAUCUGCCAUUAUUCUCUAUACGUACAGAAACAAGGUUGCUACAAUCAAGGAAACAAGCAAACAUAAAAGGGAAAAUAUCAAGGAAAAAUAUCCUUAAAAUCAAGAUGCAGAAAUAGGAAUACAAUAUUCACAUCUCCUUUCCAAGAAUAGGAGCACGAAUUCUGCCAACACAAGAGAACAUAAUCUAAAUAAUGUUAACAAUACUCACGGCUUCUGGAACUGCUUGUCAACUUGCAUGGUAUUCAAUAACGAACUCUGAGUUUGGUCAUUUUGAUAUUUCCAAAGAGAAGAAGAUGCCAAGCUAUCAGGCUGCAGCAAACAAUAAGUCAAUUAGAUAAUGGCCACAUUUCCAGAAGCAACGGACAAUUCACUAGACAAGGUUAAUCUUUCAAACGGUGAGAUUCUCUGGCCUAAAAAGGCAAGAAAAAGUUACAGUUUGAAAGAAAAUUUCCCAUCAAAGCAAGUUUUUGUACGAUGUACAUGCCAAAUUUAAUGAGGGCUAUGUGAUUGUACUGGGGUUGUACAUCAGAAAAGCCUUCUUUAACCUUCUUAUCUGUGCUCGAGUAAGAACUCCUACUGGUGGAGGGCCAUUCCAGUGGAAAUGUCCUAGAGGCAUAUGCAUUUCUAUCUGAAUUGUCAAAUUCAAGCAUUUGCGACCCUGCAUCAGCUUCUUCUAACUCAUCCACUCGACACUGGAACUCUGGUUUCAAGGAUUCGAGCUCGUCUAGGACAUCACACACUUUCUGCUGAGAUAAGGCAAGAGUUGAACUUAAAAAUGUCGUCCAACAUUCUCAAAUUAGAUGAAUGAACGAUGUGCACCGAUAUACUUCACCUUUCUAUAAGUCGACCUUUCUUUAGGACACCAAAGCCGGUAAUCUCGAUGAAACGGUAUAGUUUCAGACACCAAGCUGAAAGAUAUCAAAGAUAUAAUGCAUUUAUACUUUCAAUAAAGGAAUAGAACCAAAGUAAUGGCCUGGCGCGAAGCCUUUUACCUUGAAAACCUCAGAAGAAUGAUAAACAGAUCCACGAUAUUAUUCUCCCCCCGGUACACAUUUGCCUAGACCAUAAAUGAGAAGAUACAGACAAUAAGAAAAUGCUGAGAACACCAUGCCCCAGGAAAAGUAGCAUAGACAAUAACAACAAAUGAUGCUCAUUAUCCUUCAACAAAUCCCACACAUAAAACCUGAUGACAGAACUAUUUCCUAUUCUAAAGUAGCAAUAAACCAAGCGCAAAUACAACUCAUUUUUAAUUGCAUAAAUGCCAAUCAUAAAUAAGACCCGUCAUUCCAAAAAAUUGAAGUUGGUCUUUCUUUCCAAGUUCCAGCACCUCUCAGAUUGAAAAGACUUCAAUUGGCACUAGCAUUUUCAAGAACAAGUAUUUUUGUUCUUUUGUUCCUGAAGUAGAAAUGGAACAGAAAUGCAUUUGAUAAGUUUUUUUAUUCUCGGAAACAUAUCUGGAACAAAAAUAAUAAACAAAAAAAAAGUUACUUCUUGUUCCUAAGAAACUCAAGAAUGGAGAAUCAAGAAUGAAGCUUUUUCUUCCUUUUAUUUUCUUCCUCUUCUUUUUGUCCUUUCUCUUCCUCCCUUCUUUGCCGGCUAGCGACCGGCCAGACAAGGCCUGGCAACCUCGCCGGAGUGUCACCACCCCUAGCGAGGUUGCCUCGAGGUUGUCGGCCACUGAUGAGGCCCCUUGAGACUCGCCCAACCACCGACGAGGCCCCCCCAAGCCUCGCCCAACCACGGCAAGGCUCGACCUUGCCGGUGGCCGGGUGAGGUCACCUCGCCCAGUCACGACAAGGAUCGGGGUGACCUUGUCGGCGGCCGGCGACGCUCUUUCGAGGUCACUGAUCGGAUGGAGGAAGAAAAAGAAAAAUAAAAUGAUAAAAUAAUAAAUAAAUUAAAAGAAAUUAUAAGUCAUAAAAAUAUAUAAAGUCGUACCAAACAUAUUUUUUUUCUUGGGAACAGAAAUUUUGUAUAAUUUCCAAACGCUCUAAAUACUCAAAAACUGUUUUUAAAAAUAGAAAUAGAAAAAGAUAUUUCUAAAAAAAAAAAAGAUUGUUCCUCCGAAUAGGCGAUUACUUAAACAAACAGGACAAGACAACACACCCCUGCCGUACGAAACGACGGGGGAGUUCACACUUCACACGGAUUGAUGCAAAAUCAAACUCUGUGCAAUCCCCAUCACGGUUUGCGCCGGUAAAGGCUCAUCAUUUAACUUCAGAUGCCAAACUGUAGCAUUUAUCUAAUAAGCAAAUGCACCCCUCACGUAUGCACAUCUCAUACAGUGAUAUCUGCACAGAAAAACACUCAAAAAAAUACCGAAUCAGCAACUCCACGAAUCGCCCUCUCCUACUAGCACGGUCAUCGAAGGUUACUUGCAUUCUUCGCACGAGAGUGACGGACCCACGGACCUCAGCUCGUUCACGAGCUAAGGGCAAUAAAAAAGUAAAGAGGCAGAGACCCUCCUCAAUUUCUCCGAUUCCGAAUCGCGACAAAAACCGAUUCGACGCGAAUAAGGGCGCGAGGGAGAAUGCGAAGCGCGGAAUCGGGCACGCCGAACGUGGCGAGGGGAGACCGGGAAGCACCUGCUUGAGGAGGUUGUCGGCGGUCCGGUAGUAAUCGUGGAGGGGAACACGACUGUCGUUCUUCUCGCGAUCACAUGUUGACACGGUGGUGAUCUCUCGCUCUCUCUUUCAUUAGCAAAGGUGCUUUUAUUGCCUUUCAAUUUAUUUUUGAGAAACUUUAUCAUACGAUUGUACCAUCUUCUUAUUAAGAGCGAGUGAAACAUGUGUCAAUUAGGAUUGUGACCAUUCGAGUUCAAAUUUCCCUCAAUGAUUGUAGUCAUUACGGUUGAUCGAUUCUUGGACAAUUCAAUUCCCAUUUAGGAAUCGAACCGGUGCGAUCAAUUUUGCUUUCUCUAGAAUUGGGAACCAGACUGUAAUGAUCAAUAUAGUGUGAUUCGCGAGUGGCCAAAUAGAAUUGGAGGAGAAAGAAAAUGGCUCGAGGGACUGAACUCGACAAGCAUAUCUUAAAGUAGAAGCAUGAAUUGACGUCGGCACCUCUUUGCUCAGUGGAUCUGCGCCCUCCCGCUCUAGCAUUUCUAAUUGGCCGUACAAGGAGGAGAGAGCAAUCCAAAGUGCAAGAGCCAAGGCAUAAGUCUUGAUCCUCAGGUCAUGAAGUGUAAUAACCCCCAAUGAGAGAUAAGCGAGGCGCGAGCGACUUAGGCAAAGCGAAAGGAUCUGUGAAGGCGAGGCGCGAGUAGGACUUGGACUUGGAAAGAGCGAGGUAAUGACUCGUAGUUCUGUCAAAACCAAGGCGGGGCCUUGGGAAGAUGAGGAGCGAUUAGGCCUUGGACUUGUGAACGUGCACCGUCCGGCAUCUAAGAGUCGAGUGAGAGUGAGCGACUCAGGCAAGAGAGGGAAAGAGUAAGGCACGAGAUUGAAAGCCGAGAGGAAAAGAGGAGGCGUGUGAGAGGUGAUUAGGAUUUUACACGUGGGCAUUGAUGCUGUUCUUUACAAAAUUAAAAGAAUUAAAUUGGUCCGAGCGGUCCAGUUCUCAUCCUUGGAAUCAAGAACCAAACCACCUAGCCCCGGUUCUAAUUUUAUGGAACUAGGAAUUGAACCGACAUCCUUGGAAAUUGGCCAAAACCAACUACUUUGAUCUAAUUUUGAGGAUUACCAAUUCAGGUGUCUUCGUCAAGGAAAGGUUCUCUCGACAAAUAUCUUUUAUUGAAGCUUCGGUUUUAUUAUUUGAAAUGGAUUUUUGUGUCGUUUCGGAAAGGAAGCAACUUGUUUAAACUACAGGCAAACAAAAAUGCGGGAAAACAGGAGAAAAGUAAACGUGCAAUUGAACGAAAAAGUGCAAUAAAAGAAAAAAUAAGUAAUGAAAUAAGGGUUUGAUUGUCGAUUUUGGCAAAAGGUUUUUUUACACGAAUGCCUCUUCGGCUAUUUAUAGCCAUGAAUGCUUCUUCGGCUAUUCAUAGCCAUAUCCUACUCUUUGGCGAUUAUUAUUUUGAUUUCAAAUUAUUUCGAAAGUUUCGACUCCCUAAUCCCUAUCAAUAACUGCUCUGCUUUGUCGAUGUUCUCGCUGGUGCCGACUCCCAUAACUGCUCCCGUUCUUAAUGACGCCAAUGAACGAGACUAACCAUGCCCAAUGUAGUUCGCCAAAGUCCAACAGCCAUUGAGAGUGCCGGUCCAACUUUUCUGAGAAGAUUUUUAGUACCUCUAGGCUCUACCCAUAAUUUCUUCAAUUUACCCAGCUUGAAUAAUCAAAUUUUAACACUACCAGCUCACAGACGAUGGAUUAUAAUUUCUUCGAUAUUGCCAAUAUUUCAAAAGAAUACCGUCAUGAGUGUAUUCCAUUGGUGUAAAGUUACGUACUUGAUAUGUGUUUACCUAAUUACCGAUCCCAAGUUUUUAUGAGAUAUUGGAUCAAAUCUUCAUUUGUUUUCUAAAACUUAUAGAAUAGAAACUUUUUUCUUGUAAAAGAAACCGGAUAAUUUGCUCAUAUUAACAUUUUCUAAUUUGUGACAGCACAUCAAUAGGCCAAAUCUCAAAAGAAAAUUAUGUACUCACAUUAAAAAAUGAAAUGAUCUCCAUUUUCAAAUGUCUCGAAAAAUCACCUACGCUCGUCCAAGGGAUAAAAAUGAUCACCAUCAUCCUUCUCAUACAUAAUAUCCUACAUGGCGGACGACGUGGCUGCGGUGCUUAAUUGUUGCACCAAUAUGGCAAUUUUAUUAUUUAAAAAGUUUUAAAAUAAAUCAAAAAAUUUAAAUAAUUAAUGAUGCUGGCAAAAAAAAAUUCAAAAAUAAAUCUGAGUUUUAAGAAAUAAAAACUUAUAAAAUACAAAUAAGAAAACCGAAACAGGUAUGCUCAUUCGCCACCUCCUCUUGCCGGCUUGGCACGUCGUCCUCCUCCACCUCCGCUCCAUGACAAUCAUCCCCGGCCACCAUGCUCCUCCUCCUUCCACCGGAAACUUUAAAUUUAUCUUUUAGCAGUGUUAAAAUGUGAUAAUUUUGCUUCAACAGUGCUCGACCAACGUUAUGUACACUCAUGGUGUUAUUGUGAUAUGAAGAAGGUAGUCGUUCAUGAUUCUAGGCUGAUUUACCAUAUGAUUAACAUACGUUAUUUUUCUUCGGAAUUUGAACGGAUGAUACAAUUACGUAGGCAAUUGGGCGGAAACUAUCACGUUAAAGAAAGCAAGAUCGCAUCUUGAUAGGGGCACUAUACGAUGUGAACGUGAAGGACAGAAGAACAGCUUCUCUUCAGCCUUAAAAACCUUUCUCUGCGGUUCAAUCUUGUUGAAACAAACGAGCAUGGAGUCUUGCUGGAGUUUUGACUCAUCAAUGGAUGCUGGAGGAAGGCAGAGUACGAUGUUCCAAUUCGAGAACCUCAGAGAGGCGAGUCGCUUGCGGUGGGCGAGAGGACAUUGCCGCAUGCCUGAAGUCAUGACAGCGGCUGCCUGAUGAGCUCGUGACAUGGCCCGUGAAUCUACCUUGGCCAUGUUCGUGGAGUUACACAACUGAGAGAGAGAGAGAGAGAGAGAGAGAGAGAGAGAGCAAAAGGGGUCGCUGAGCAUGGUGGUUGCUGGGAGUGAGGUGCCGCCGGUGGCAGUGGCGGCAAGGGAUCGGGACUAGUUAGAUUAACCGAUGAAGGAUAGAGAUAGUGAACGAGGAGACUUGUCUGAUUCAUUUACUAUUUGACAGACAAAAGAAAUAAGACGAGAUAGAACGCACAAAUACAGAAUGGAAGAACAAUUAGACGAGCGACACGUGGACAGGUGGCGACCAAUGGCUGCUGUCGGCACUAAGCUGAUCUGUGCCCUUACACUAAUCCUCGUGCAUCAUAUCAUAUACAUUGCCUCACAUCAUGGCUAAAGUACUAAGUAUGCUUUAUUCCAAUACACCGUUCAUAUACUCUGUGUCCAUAUCAAAACUAAAUAAAAAAACUCUCUUUUAAGGCACAUCAUCUUGUACUAACAGAGAAGAAGCAACCACCCCAUAGCCACCAUCAUGAUGGAGAAGAUGGCCUGCUUGGAAUCCUUAGGUGCACCAUCUCCUCCGGCUUGAAUGUGCUCGGCCACAUUGAAGUCACCUGCAAAACCACAGAGCUAAUGAUCGUUAAUUUUGCUCAUUGAUGCUGAGAGGACGUCGAGCAUGCUGUGAAUUUCACUUUGGUAAAUAUCAUGUGUUCAGUGUGGAAUGGUAUCUGUGGAUGAGUUUGCAAACAGGCAUCAUCUUCAAAAGCCCCGAGACUAACUACAUGAACUGUUAUUCAUCACAUUAAACUCGCCAUUAAACUUGCCAGUGAAGAGAAUGUGUGCGCAAGCAGUAGCAUCGUGUCAGGUUAUGGUGAUACAAUUACAUAAGCAGUUCUAGCAAAGUUGGCGGAACCAACCUCUUUGAGAUCCAUGGCUGCAUCCUUCAUGAAUCGUAUCUUGGAUGUCCUUUAUCGUCGCGUGGUUGUCAAAUAUGAAGUUUGACACAAUCCCGUCGAUGCAUGUGAGCACCAAGUUCGUUUCGCUCAGGCACGGCCCAUUACAAAACUCAUCGGUGUAUUCGGGAGGGACAUGGAGAUCUCCACUGUGAUCCAACCUAUAGGAUUCCUCGCAGCUCUGAUAGAUCUACAGGAUAAAGACAACACCAUGUCAGACCAGAAGAACUACACCACACUGACGAAUUCUCUCUGGAGAACUUGGAAGGCUCAACCAGUAGCUUAGAGUCCAAUACAAAUGAGCAAUUAGCAUUGUUAUGUUAAGAAGGUCCUAACUUCUGCUUACAUAUUUGUCAUCGAAGCAAAGCAAAGCUUUGGCAACGAUUUCAGGUGUUUCAAACCCUCCUGCCCCGCCUCCACCGGUCCCUCCUGCGCCGCCUCCCGACGGAUUAAAACCACCCCCGGCACCUCCUGCUCCCCCUCCUGCUCCGCCUCCUGCUCCACCUCCUACUCCGCCUCCUCCUCCACCUCCUACUCCGCCUCCUGCUCCCCCUCCUGCUCCACCUCCUGAUGGAUUGAAACCACCGAUUCCUCCUAUCCCGCCGCCCGGCUGAUUAAAUCCACCUCCUAUCCCGCCGCCUGGCUGAUUAAAUCCACCGCCACCUCCAACCGGAGUCACUUGCCCGUCGGCCGUUCCUGUGUGAACCAUGGCAAAACAUAACUACUGAGCAUCAACUAAAAAAGGAAAUUCAUAUUAUAUAAAGGGAAAAAAGAGGGAAGAUAUUCAGCAUCGCAUACCAAAGUUGCAGCAGAAAACAGAUAGACAUGCAAGAGUUAAGGCAUAGACCCUCAAUCUGCUCCUCACUGGCAAUGCCAUUGAAGAAGUUUUGCAGAAAAACUGAAGCUCAAGGAUGGAACAAGACAAGUUUAUAUUUGAGUUGCUUUUUAUAACUUUGAGGUCGUACCAAACCUUGGAAAUGUCAGGUUGGAUGCUAAAUUGUAAAUUCAGUGCUGAGUUAAGCCCAGAAGUAUCAACCUGGAAAAUGACCCCCGCUUGUGUCACACAUUUGAUAGAUUACCCAACUAUAGUCUCUCUCAUUUCUGUACUUUUUGACCAUCUGGACGUGGCCUACCAGUCUGGACAAGCGAAAUUUUCAAUCGACAGGUGAGUAGAGAAUAUACCAGAUGCAAAUUAAAAAAAGAUGGCCUCCUUUGCGUGACAUUAAGUGUUGCCUAAAUGCACAAUUUAGGUAGGUUCAGUUUGGAAAAAAAAAAGAGAGAACUGAAUCAGACUUUCUUUUGGGCAAGACAUUUAAGGCAAAGGAUGACUUAAGAGAGAGAGAGCAGUUGGAUUGCCAGCCACCAAACGCAAAAGCUUGGUGAAGGCAUUUAACUCAAGUGCUAAAUUUCAAACUACCAUGUUUUCUUUAGCGGUUACAUUCUCUGUUCCUUCUCCUACAAGUAGAGAUUACGUCCCACGAGCAGGGGAUUUAAUAAGUAGUUUGGGUGAGCCAAGAAAACAUCCGCACGAGAGCCAGUUAUUUGCACGUAUGGACCAAGUGGUCAUACCUGCGCAUCUUGGGAAAAAAGGUUACAACGGAAAAUUCUUCGACACGCUCGAUUCUCUUCUGGAAACUUGAUACACCAUAUAGAUGGAAAAACGCUAAAAUUCAUCUAUUCAAAUCAAACAAAGGGCAGAGAUAUAAAUUAUUAGUAAAAGACGUAGACCAAACCCCCACGUGUGAUGUUCUCUGUUCUCGAAACCAGUUAACAUGUCUAGGGACAAAUGUGGUACAGCAUGUCCACGGAUUAAGAUGAUCAAAUAAUCUAAACGGUGAUGGCGUACAGGUGAACUUUAUCCGCAUUACACAUAAUGUAAACAGUAUAAUAUCCAUGGUCAUUAACCACAUUAAUUUUAGAUUCUUAUCAUGCUUCUCCGUGCAAAGCCCGCCGGGGCAGCUCUCAUUUCUGCCAAGUAACCAAGUUUUCUGAAGUGGAAGCUUAUGGAAUGAGUCUGGCACAUCUUCGUAUGACAACAUUGAUCUUCCGAUCCCCUAAAGCCAACUUUAAGCACAGAAUAUCAGGGUGGCUUCCUGUAUUCAACGUUCCCAUGAUUGAAGUUCACUUUUCGCCUUUGUGAGACAAUGCCAAUUCACAAUUUCCAGUCCUUGACUUUGGCAAAUUACUUAUGACAAUCAGUUGGAUCAACGGUUAGAGCUAUUUUCUGGAUUCUUCUGCCCACCGAAAAAAAAGCAACCAGAUUCAAGCUGCAAGUAAAGCAAGAGGCCUCACUUAGUUACUUUGUCAUCAAUAGUUUGCUAAAUUUUAUAUAACGAUAUUACACACUCAACAAGAAAAUAAAACACGCGACUUAAACAGUAUACUAUUCAUCAAAAGCACAUGACUCUGGUAACUCUGCAACAACCAUCAGGAUAUGGUUUCGAUUUUCACAGGUAUGACCCAAUGUCACAACCUACAAAAACACGUUGAUAGCCUCAUGUUACCUUAACUAGCCAGCAUCAGGACUCUAUUUUUGGACUAAUACUCUUGUUGAAUAUGGACAGUGCAUGCUGCAUGAACGCACUCAUCUAAAUUCAUGGUACUCACUUUCCCAAAUUUUAUGAGGUCACAUCCUAAAUGCUGCGACAAUCAUUGGUCAUCCCAACAUGGUUAACAGUCUUGGUAGCAGAGAAUAUAUAUACUAAGUAAGCUGAGAAAAAUUGAAAAAUGAAAUUCUGGGCAAGAAGCUGUCACUGGUAUAGAAGGAAAAUAGAUAGCUAAACCCAAAGAUUGAGUUCAAUCACUAAUUUUGUUGACAAACUGAAGUUGCUGAACAUGUCUUGGAAUGAUCAGUGUCACAUUUCCAACUGGAUCAUAAUCCCGACUGAUGACUAGACACUGUCUUACGGAAUCCCCAAGGCUAAAUACUUGAAUUACAAAGCUUACCAAGCCCAUCUUGUGACUGACUCAAAGUUCAUUGAGAUCUGAUAAUGCUAGUCUUUCUUAAGUACAUAAACGCAAUAUCUCAAAGCAUUUAGAACUUUUGAGACUCCCCAUUAAAGGAAGAACUAGCCAUCCUAUAUACGAUUGUCAAAUUAAAGAAAGGAACUAUAUUACCACAAUUUGCUCAACUUCAGAAUUUACACACACUCCUUCUAACAUGGUUUGUAUGCUAAAUUGUCCAAACAAUUAAAUUUCGCUCAAAUAAAUUACCCAAAAUUCCAGCAGAACUUAAAAGCAAUUCUGUAACAAAUAAUUGAGAACUGUAUCAAUAGCCACAGAGUUGAAUUCUUAAAAGUACCUCUAGCUCUUGAAGUAGUGAAUGCCACAAGAAAACAGAACGUCAGAUGUUAUCUAGUUGAGUUGCCUUCAGGCUCGAUGUUUUACAAUGGAGAACAUACUCAUGAAACUCCAGUAAUAACAAUCCUUGAAAACCUCCCCUAUACAAUAGAGAUAACUUUUGAAAAGAUCUCUUGCUUAUCCAUAUCUUUACUCUCUAUUGUUUGCCUCUCUAAAUUGUCAUUAUCAGAUUUUGGCCUCUAGAAAAUUGCUUGCACUCUAACGAGGUGCACAUCCAUUUCCAUCCGUGGCAAGAAGCUCCUUGGCCUCAUCAGCUCGCCCUGAUUCCUGCAAUGCCUUAAUUAAAGCAUUGUAGGUCUGCUUUUCAGGAGUCAAACCCAAUGUCAACAUUGAAAAGAAGAGCUUCCUAGCCCUCUCAACACGAUUUAUCUUACAACAGCUGUGAAUAAGUGCGCUGAAACAAGAAAUGUCUGGACUAAUUCCAUCUGCUUGCAUUUUUCUUAGCAGUGUCAAUGAUUUCCCAACAUUUCCAGUAAAACACAAGGAUCGGAUCAAUAUGCCGUAAGUGAUAGCAUUUGGAGGGACGCCCCACUCCUUCAUUUCUGCAAAACAAUCAAGUGCGUCUUCGAUCUUGUUUACUCUACAAAAUCCAUCAAUUAUUGCACUAAAAGUGACAACAUCAGGUUUAAAACCAAACUGAAAAACCAUCUCCAGCAGUUCCUGGGCUUUUCUCAUGUCUCCUUCCUUGCAAUGUGCACUAAUGAUGGUGUUGAGAGUCACGAGAUUAGGUGCAAUCCCAAUAUUUUGCAUUUCUCUCAAAGUUUCCAGUGCCCUGCCCAGCAUUUUGGUUCGGCAGAAGCAGUCAAUCAGCAUAUUGUACAAAAAGACAUUUGAGACUUGCCCAUCCUCAUAGAUCCGAUUUAAGUACCGAUCACCAUCCUCAACCCUUCCUGCCUUGUAUAGUGCUUCAAUAAGUGCAUAAUAAGUACUGAACCCUGGCUUCACACCUCUCUCAUUAAAUCUAUCAAGUAGCUCAAGCACCUCAUUCAGAUCCAAGCCUUUCACCAAGCAAACGAUAGCCAUGUUAAAAGUCGGACCAUCAGGGACAUAACCUCUAUCACCAAACAUUCUCAAAAGACCAGCUACUUCUCUUGCCAUAGAAUUGUUUGAAAGGCAAAAAAGCAAAGUAUCACAAGUUGAAUUGAUCAAGCCUGGUUCCUUCACCACAAAGCUACAUAACAACUCAAAUGCCUUCUUGGCAUCAGCGCAUCGAAACAUUCCAUGAACCAAUGAUCUGAUAGUGGCUUCAUUCGGAGGCACAUUGCUUUUCCUCAUGGUUUCUAUGACCUUGAAGGCUUCAUCAGCCAUUUUUGCAUUACAGAAACCAUCAAUAAGUAUCGUGUACGUAUACACAUUAGGCUUAUAACCGAUCCCCUCCAUUUGUUUAACCAAGCGACGCGCCUCGUCCAUCACGCCAGCUCGGCAAACCCCAUGAAUAAGUAUGUUAUAAGUGAACCUAUCCGGUUUGCAAUUAUCAGAAGCCAUCUGCUGGAACUUCAAAUAAGCCUUGUCCAACGAAUUGGCUUUCACCAACGCGUCAAUCACCGCAUUAUAUAUCCUAGUAGUCGGACUAAACCCCAGAAACGAAAUCUGCCCAAAAACCUCAUCGCAGUACUUAGCCAAUCCUAACCUGCCCCAGCUGCCAAUCAACACGCAAAGCAAAUCUUCCGUGAACCGCCCGCCAGAAUCCCUAAUAUCCCGAAUCAGUUCAGCCGACAAUACAACAGGGCCCUUCCUAUGCAACACAUCGGCCAAAACAGCCUUCACCGAUCGAUUCUUGGCGAGCGCGGGGCUGAAACCCGAUACCCAGAUGUAAAAUUUCAAAGGGUGUACCGGGUUUUCUUGAUUCCGCAAGACGCUCGCGACGGACUGCGCGCUCAGCGCCGCCCUCUUCGCUCGGUGCUCGUGGGUGAGCAGCAAGAACCAGUCUUUUCUCGAGAGGACCCGAGAAAUGUAACCGCGGUCGAUCUGCUCGUCACGUGAAUCGUGGGUUUUCCUAGGAAAGGCGUCGCGCGGCAAAGGCUUACCUCUGCCCGGCGCUUCCUGUGCUUUGCCAAUGCGUUCCCGCCGAACGGGUGGUUUGGGUUGGGACCUCGAGGGAGGAUUACUUGGGGCGAGAUUCUUGGGAGCGAAUGCUUCGUCGGGGAGGGCGGUGACUGCGGUGGAAGCCCUAGAAGCUAGAGGAGGAAGCCGUCUCAUGUCAUGCUUUCCCCUGGCGAAUGAGUUUCAGUAGCAGGCGGAGAAGAGGAGAAGAACAAAGAAGACGACGAGGUUGAAGUUCGUCCGAUGCAGGGUAAACCGAUCAGUGAACCGGUUCGGUAUCAUAGCUCUAAAAAAGUUUAGGUCGACUCGAUAUAUUUUUUUUAUUAUAUAAAUAAUAAUUUUGUUUUUUUUUGUGACCUAGGAAUCUCCGUGCACCGCUUCGCAGUGGAGAGUAAACCCUGGGUGAACUGAGCUACCACCACAAACCCAGCCAUAGGUGAAUCGAGCGUUUUGCAUUGAAGCAACGGGGACGCGGAGUCUCGAACCCUUCCCCUGCGAAUGGGGUACCAAGUCUUAACCAUCGCCCGCUAUAAUUUUUUUUUUGAUAAUCUAGAAACUACCGUACAGCCGGCGUUAGUAAACCUAAAGCAUUAGCACGGGAACUCACCACCCACGGCACCCCACUUAAAUGGCACAUCGUGAUAAGUUGGGGAAUCGAACCCCAGCCUUACGUGUGGCUAAUGUUCGAUUCCACCAACUCAGCCACCACAAGGUGGAUAUAAAUAAUGAUGUUUAUUUCACGAGAAAUAAAUAAUUUAAAGGAAAUUUUUUUGAAAAUGAUAAUUUAUAUUACUUAUAAAAGUUAAUGAAUAAAAAGCAUUUUUUACGAAAAUUUUUAGAUAAAAAUUAUUGCCGAAUAAUGAAAAUAAUAUUUAUUAAUAUUUUAAAAUGAUAUAUACAAUCAUUUUCUAGAAAAUGUUUUGUAAAUUAUUAAUUUUUCUCUAAAUAAAAAGAGAAUAAUUUUUUUUUCCUAAUUUGACACUUCAACCCUGCCCUUCCGAUUGGUCUAGGAGGAAGCACUUCCUUUUAUGAGAACAUAUUCAUUUGCAACGGUUAAAUGAAAAAAUAUGCUUAAUUACGUGGCAAAUUUUUAAAACUUAUCACGGUAGUGCAUUUGAAUUCUCGAACUUUCAUGGAAGUUUGUUAGGUCUUAAAUUUUGAAAUUUCAAUAUACUUGAAUCGUUUCAUUAACUUCAUUAGCCUUCGUGAAAGAAAAAUGCAAUGUGGCUAUUUAUUUUUAUUACAUGUAACAUCAUUUUUUGUCCGUCUACUAUAAAUUUAACGGCGUUAAUGAAGAACUAAAGUGGACCACUUUUAUAGGUUCUCUUGGAGGUUUAUAGCGAGGAAAUUAACCAUUUUAAGCGACUAUAAAUAUAUAUAGAGAGAGACAUACGUGCGAAAAAAAAAUUGCAUAUUUCGUUUAUUUUUUUCUCUUCGUCCCCAAUUCUCCAACGUCAUGGGGAUGAUGUACACAUAUAGGAGAACUUUUGUACCAUGUCGGCCGCACUUGUCUUGGCAAAGCAGCGUUUUGGGCCGCUGCCAUCGCCGCCGCCGAUGCCAGGAGCCAGGCGUUCAACGGCACAAAUGGCGACGUCUUCACGUGAAGGAUCAUGUGGAAGGGUGGUGGCCGAUGGGGUCGGCAUCGAGUUCGUCCCCUUCGACGAAGAGUUCGAUUUCUUUGGGCAAUUGAGAGAGAGCAAGGGCAAGAUGGGGACGAGAAUGCGGACCCGCACGAGCUACAUGCAAAGACCAAAAGGGAAGGAGAUCACGUGCUGUUGUGAACCCUUUAGCAAUGCGUUGCGCUUCGAUUUCCAGCAUCUGCGUUAGCAUGAACAAGAGCCACGAGUAUGCAACUCAGGCUAUUAACACGUAUAUCGGUGAAAAAGGUCUUAGGGAAGUAAAAAAAAAAAUGACCAUCUGAACCGAAACUCGACCCCAACAGAUCCAUAAAAUUUCGGGUUUAGGUUGAAAUCAUGUUGCAGUGCUUCCAAUUCGGGCUUAAUUUCUGAGGAAAAUAGAUUGUUUGGGGACAUGUCCCAGUGAAAGGUGGAGAUUAAUCCAACAGCCACCCGGAAAAAGUUGAUGAGAGUUAGCUCGCAAGCUUGAAUUUGUAAACGGAACACCCACCAUGACAUAAGAAAACAACCCAUUAAAUCAAUUAUAUAAAUGGCCAAUCAACAUGUCCAUCUGACUCUAAAUUCAUGUUUCAUCAUCAACUGGAGAAGUAUUUUAUUCGUUGACUUUCGGUGGGUCUAAUCGAAUCUAUUUUGCCUGCACAGUUCAAAGGAUGAUCAGUCCAUUCAAAACAUCAAGCCCCUCCACAUCUGUUGCUGAGAGAUGUUCAUGGGUCCUGGCCCAACGUGCACGCCGGCCUCCGAGGGGGCAGCUGCUGAUGCUGCGUCCUCUGGAAAACAAAAGAAGGAGAAAGUUUAGUGUAAUCCUCUAAACACAAUGCGAAAUCACAAGCAAUAUCUAAUCUUUCCCAAGUUUAGUACCUCCAGUUUGGGGCGCAAAAUCUCGACCGGGACCUUCGAGCUCUGAUUCGCCCCGGCGCUUUGCUGUGCGAAAUCAAGAAAACAGUUCAAUCUCCAGAAGAAUUUCAGAUUGGCAUCUCUUGAUUAGAUGGAGUGUACUUCUCACAAGUACUUUUAUUUAUAAACGUCAUGAUCAAUCGGAUUACCCAACAAGGCUUUUUCAGUUAUCGGCAUGGACAUUAAAUUUUACCUUCCACAAAGCCCAGUCAGCUGAAUCAAAGAAGGCUCGUGCGUGGUCCUACAACACACAAAUUAGCACUAAAUAAUUAAAAUUAAAUCCGCAAUUACGGACUGUAAUAAGGCGGGAAAAUAUUCAUCUAAUUAUAAAAUUUGUGGAUUUUGCCAAAAAAACAAGUGAUUGGAUAACCUGCCUUUGAGAUCAAUGGCUUCUUCUUGGGCUCUAGUCCUCCAUAUCUCUUCGCCAAAGACGCUUCCUGCGAUUGACAAGAGAGGUAGGCUUGGCGAACAAAACAAAGGCAAAAACAUAGUACCGCAAGUCGACAAGCGCCCACUGAUCUCGCGACACGUGUAGGCUUUCGAUCGUGUCGAUAGCCAAAACCAUGGCAACGAAAAAGAAAUUUCCGAGGAAGUCGCUUUUGCCCGGUUUUGCCAAUUUUUAUAAUGGGCCGGCCGCAUGCCGUUCACAUUACGGGCCCCACAUCGAAUCGAGCCUCGAGUGGGCCACACCAGUCGUGGGCCUUGGGCCCACCUGGUCUCCCGCUGUUAUUACCUUACCUCGCCGCCGACAACUACGAUACAAUCCCAUUACUAUUUCUUGGCAAAAGGAAAAAAAAAAACAAAAAAAGGAAAAACCAAGAAAUUGCAGAGGAGAAAGAAUUUCUAACACGUUCAAGGUAAUAUCUCCACAGACUCCAUAUGAUAAAAUGGCAAUAAAACUGAUUUUAUAAAGUGAUCGCUAGACUUUCCUCGUGAAUUCCAUUUGCGCGAAAACGUCAUCGUUUAAAAGAAAGAUACGAUGCUUCACCCUUGAACAAAUCAAAAUAAGAAGGAUCGGCCCGGACCGCCGGCACGACGCGUCGUUUCGAGCUCAGGGGAGGCGAGGUUCGCCGGAGAAAAGAGAAGGACGGAAGGAAAGAAAGAGAGGGAAUAAUACCUUGGGCUCCGGCGGAGCACCGCAGCCGUCGCCCCUGCCGCCGCAAUCCGCCAUCUCUCUCCAGGAGCUUUCUCUCUCCUCCCCUGCUCCACCGACACAAGAACAACACGCGAUCAGCUUGUCACCGGAAGACAGAGCGCUCUCCUGAAACUCCAGCUUCAAAGAGAGAGAAAGACAGAACGCGCAGAGACAGAGACAGAGAGUUACCCAAAACAAGAUUCUAGAGAGAGAGAGAGAGAGAGAGAGAGAGAGAGAGAGGGAGGAAGAAGGGGAAGGGGCAGGAGCCUCCAGAGGAACAGAUGAUGAGGAAAGGUUUGAGAGGUUGAGUGAGAAGGUGAAACCAGAAUAUAAUAUAUAUAUAUUCAGCAAAAAAAAAAAAUGAAAUAUCUGGAACCUUUUUUCUUCUUUUUUGGUAUGAAGAAUUUUGAACUUAUAAUUUCGUCAUUAAUACCAAAUAUGCUAAAAUAUAGAAGGCUCUUAACUCUGCAUAUCUCAGAUAUUUUUGACUUACUAAUUCGAGUGCGGUUUCUAUAGUUGAACCAAUUUCUUUAUAGAGGACAAAAUGAAGGAGAUCAUCCUCGGGAUGCAAAAGGGACCUUCCUAUAAUAUAAAAUCGUGAAAUUUAAAACCGUGAAAUUUUGUGGCCGGUAUAUUGUUUUAUUGACGAAAGAAAAAAGAGGAGAUUGACAGUUUCUCCAAAGGGAAUUGACUCUUUCUCUAUAUACCAAGGCCGACGUCGUGAUUGGAAAUUUAGAAAUUGCAAAUGGAGCAUGCGUGAAAUGAUUAUUUUUUUGUUUGCUUACUUCUCUCGUGAUAUGCAUUUCUCCCUUUCUCUCCCUUCCCACUGGCCCCACCCGUUCUCCCAUCGCUCUCGUACAGGGGUAUUCUUAAUUUAGUAGUAUACCGAUAAGAAUAGAGAGUAAUAAAUCACAUCAAUUUGAUGAAAAAACCUGAAUUUGAAAACAAAAUUUGACUCGUGUUUUUUACCCUUGAUGACUGGUGAGGGUUGGGGUUCGGUGGAUGAUACAUUGCAUCUGGAAUACGCAUGCACAUUUUGUGCACGAGACAUGUUUGAAAAAUUGAAUAAAAUGCUAUUUCGAAAUUCUCGAAUCAUUAAAUAAGGAAAAAGAAAUUAUCUAUAAAAAAUUUGAUACAUCACAAAGAAAUCUUAUAGAUAUAUAUGGAAAGAUAAAAAUAGAAAAUAUCAUCGACCCUCAUAAUAAUAUAGACAAUUAUAUAGAUAUAUGCAUAUCUAUCAACAAAUUUUUCUCCCCCCCCAAAAAAAAACCAUAGCAAAAGUUCCAUUUUGUGACUAUCGGCUAUGAUGCCAUCAUUGGCAAUAGGCGACAGGUCCAUGGCAAUGGGGCGCUACAAGUCAUAUCACAUACCUUUUGCCCUACUAAAUUGUGAUUUUGAUUGAUGUGUGGCACCUCCUUCAUUUUCAACAUCCAUGCAGGAUCGAAUACAAAACGAGUUUUGUUGUUAAGUAAUUUGUCAACAGCUUCCAUUGACAUCUAGAGUGCAUUUCAUGAAAAAGACGUGCCAAUUCGAGAACAUCGCUCGAAUCAAAAAUAUUUUCCCAUUUUUUCGGCCGAAAAGAAUAAGAUAUUUCUCCCAUCAUUUUCUUUUGUGGGGACACGUUAUUUUCUAUGAAAGAGGCUUUAAUCCAUCAUGGGUGUAAUUCAAAAAAAUCGAAAUUGGCAAUUAUUCAUGGAAAUCAAGACUUGUAUUUAUAAAAUUAGUCUCGUAAAAUAGAGUUUUGUCGUUGGUCAAUUGUGACCGGUAAGCAAGCACCCAGGCACUAAAAAACCCUCUUUUCGUUUGGGUCAAAUUUUCGAAAUGGUGGGCAGGGUGGCUUGCGGGUCAGAUUCGACUAGUCGUUUCAGUCAAAAGUCAACUAAAUUCACUAAAAAUUAGGCCGACUAGAUCUUGACAUGGUCAAAAUGUCCUCGGACCGAUUAAAAAUUCGAGCAAUUUCUGUGUUCUAACAUAGUAAAUUUCACCAAUCGAUUGCUCUAGCAUGCAUCUGGAUAAGAACUAAGUUCAAACUUCAAGCUCUUUUCUCUGCCUUUAUUUGACCAAUUACUUUACAUUUUAUCCAAUCAAAUUGCUCUUUAGGCGCAACUUGAAUGGAUCUGGACUUAAUAAGUAAUGCUACUUCACAAUAAUAUUUUCUUUUGCCUCUAAUUAGCCUUCCUCCAGUUUUGUGGAGAUUCGGCUACAAUACGUAAUCUUAAAAAAAAAAAACUAUUUGUUUAAUAAAAUUAAAAAAGAAAAAAACAAGGCCACAAAUCAGAAUAUUCUUUUCAAUUACAACUAUACCUUUCAUCUUCAAACUUAGUUUAUGUGUCUUGUUCACCCCAAAUUUGCUUGGAGGGUCAUGGAAUGCUCGACGUCGCCGACGUGGAGCUUGUGCUCGCCUAUCGGGAUCCUUCGGAUCCCAAACUCGUCGACCACGCUCAGGUGCUCGCAGACGCGGACGUCGAUCCUGACCCGCCGCUGGGACCCGGCCGACACAUGGACCUUUUCGAACCCGAUCAGCUGCCUCGCCGGGGACCAUUUCCCCUCCGGCGGCGCGGAGAACACGAGCAGGGUGUGCGUCCCGUCCAUCGAGCCGGUGUUCUCGAUGUUGACAUGGAUCCCAAGGGAGGCUGCAUUGCAAUUCACAUGCGCAGCUCUGAUCCCAGCGCUCAGCAGGGACGAGUUUCGGUAGGCAGCACUAAGGCUCGCCACCGGCACCGAGACUUGGGUCGGAGCCUUGACUAGCGAGUGUCGGUAACUGGUGUAGCUCAUGCCGUAGCCGAAGGGAUACACGACGGGGCCUUUGUAGAAGCGGUAGGUCCGCCCGGGAUAGCCCUUCGCCGGGUUCGCCCUCAUGUUCAUGUUCGUCAUAGGAACCUUGGCAACAUAUUCCUGCGGGUACCAAGUCACAGGAAGCUUUCCUCCUAGAAAAGGGAUUCAGGACAUAUUUUAGAUUCUUCAAUGUUAAUUUUCAAUGCAAGUGCAGGGCAUGAGGAAUUGAAAUUUGUAAAGAGUACCCGGAUUGACAGUUCCGAACAGGACAUCGGCUAUGGCCUGCCCGCCGGCUUGACCCGGAUACCCAGCCCACACUAUGGCGGCGACCCGCGGGUCGUUCUUCGCGAAGGACACGUCGAUCGGCCCACCGCUCAUCAGGACCAAGAUGGUCGGGCCUCUGGAGGCCAUGGCCACCCUCGACACGAGCUCCUGCUGAUGUCCUGGCAAGAGCAGCCCAGUUCUGUCUCUGAACUCCGCUUCGAUCGAUUGGUCUAGCCCCAUGACUAGGACGGUGGCGUCGGCAUGCCGAGCCGCAACCUCUGCCCUCCCAAAGAGCUGGUUCGAGGUGCACGCGACGCCGACGCAUCCUGGUUGGUGGACCGUCCUGCUGUACCUCCCGAUUCCUUGAAAGGGACUGGUGUAGCCGCACGCGACGCCUGCAGCGAAUUUGAAUGGCAAAAGGGUAGGUGCUUAACAAGCGCCAAAAGCAACGAACAAACCCGAUGUACGAUCAAACUCGUACCUGCGUAAUUCCCAAUCAUCGUCACGGUAACGUCGGAGUUCGGCCCGAUGACCGCAACGAGGCGGUGGCGCCUAGCAGAGAGCGGCAGAGCCUGUCCCUGGUUCUUGAGCAACACGAUGCCCUGGCGCGCGGCCUCCAGGGCCAGCUGCUGGUGGGCCGGAGUGCACACGUCCCGCGGCCCGAGGUUCCCGUAGGGCUGCGCCGACGGCUCGCCAUCGAACAUGCCCAGCCUCAUCUGCACUGUGAUCGUGUUCGCGAGGGCCAGGUCCACCUCGGCCUCGGCCAUCUUCCCUCCCCUGAUGGCCGCCUCCGUGUGGACCGCCAGGAACGGCCCGCAGUCCAGGUCCAAUCCUGCCCUGAUGGUGUCUGCAGCCGCAUCUUCCGGCGUGGUGGUGUAGUGUUGGUUCUCGUACAGCACCCCGACCGAGUCGCAGUCCGAGACGAUGUACCUGAUUCGAAAUACCCAACCGAGAUCGCGGCAUUAAUGUAUAAAACCGAGCAAGAACGACCCGUAAUCGGAGUCGUGACGACUCCGAAAGCCUGGCGGGGUGGUUCCGUUCGAAUCCGACGGCCGGUCCUUACCCGUUGAGACGCCACUGGCCACGGAUGGUGUUCUUGAGGAGGUUCGGAUCGGCGCAGGUCGGGACGCCGUUGACCUGGUUGUACGAGCACAUCACGCUCGCCACUUUCCCGUCCACCACGCAGGCCUUGAAUGGUACGUUGUAUGUGUCCUCCAAAUCUUGCUUGCUCACCUAUAAUUAAAAGAAAAAAAAAAAGAAAUUUACAAAAUUUCAUAAUUUUUCACCUUUUGGAUCUAAUAUUAACAUAAUCACAAACACUUGACAAGCACAAUUUACUACUUAGUAGCUUUAUACGGUCUGGAAAAAAAAAAAUGAAUCUCUCGUAGCAACAUUUUUGAAAAAUUUAUCAAACAAAUAGGAGAAUUUUCCCGUGUGGAUUAGUUAUAAUUUGGUCGGAAAAAAAAAAUAUCCGAAUCUUUUCAAGCGACACUUUGGUAAAAUUUAGCAAACAUAUAGGAUAAUUUUUCCAUAUGGAUUAGUUAUUCUAAAUUCAGAUUAUUCGGUCGAAAAGCUAUCAUGUUCUUUUAUGGGUACCUUUUUUUUUUUUUUUGGUAAUAUGUGCAUAUUUUCUGGGAUUAGAGCCAAGGCAAAAAGAGAAGGGCACAGAAAGAGUACAAGGGAAGCAUGGGGAAUGAAAUGAAAUGACCACCGCCCCAGCAGUCUUCUUCAGAUUGCUAUCCCGGGAUUGGCUAAAGACGAAGAGAAACCCAAUGGGAAAUCGCCACGUGGAAACGAAAAUAAAACAAAUUUUGAGGUUCUACCAUCAGACCUAUCAAAUUUUUAAGAAGCAUCCUAGUCAUUAAUUGUCGCUGGUGCUUCCAGCCAAACCUCCCACAAAUAGACAAAGCAUGAAACACAACGACAAAUUUGAAAUUAGGUAUGCUAUGCACAUUUAUAUAUAUGCAUAUAUAUGUAUAAAUUUUUGCUGAAUUUGAAAUUAGGUGUGCAUAUAUAUAUAUGCACAUUUAUAUUUGUUUAAACGUUUGCUGAAUUCUUUGUUCCUUGCAAGCAAUUCUUAGAUGUCCUUUUCACAAGUCACAACCACUAUUUCUAAAGGUGAAGCUAUUCAUUGCAAGGGACAGGAGUUGAUGCCUUAUUGAGAAUAUGUUGCUAAUUAUGAUGAGGGGACCAGCCUAAUUAUUUCUGAUUAUAAGCAUCCCUUUGCUUAAUUUUUUUUUGUAGACACGCCUAAUUAGGAUGGAUACUUAAACAUCUGUUCUUGAUUAUUUUUCUCAUCACUUAAUUCUUCCAACAGCUCUUCUCCUUCUUUUCCUUUUUUCCAUGAAGAUGAUAACUCUAGUAAUUUCUGAUGCAGUCCUAGAUGGUCGCUUUCGACUUACCCGGGCAUUGAAAUGGUAUCGGUCCACACCAUUCCAGUUGUCGAGGUCAUAGGCGGUGUAAUGCUUGCAGCUCGCCGCGACCUUCAGCCGAUUGCCGACGUUGCCCUGGAGCCCCCGGACGUAGCUUGCUGCGUACUUCCCGGCCAUCACGGGGUCCUCGCCCGGCGUCUCCUGGCCCCGCCCCCACCUCGGGUCUCGGAACACGUUCACGUUCGGGCUCCAGUACGUCAGCCCCGCCAUCCCACCGUUGUACAUGGCCCUCGCUUCAUCCGACACGACCUGCAUUCAAAAAUCGCCAGGAACAUUUCAACAUUCGCCACCACAUCCAAUGGUUGUGAUUGUUUUGAUGCAUCAACAAACGACGUCGAAAAUGCGUUGCUGGUCAUGCAUGCUGAGUCAUUGAUGAAUCACAAGUAUAAGGAAACGCAACAGGCCAAAGGCGAAGCUUCAAUUAAUGUCUUUUUGCCUAACUACUUAACCCCUAAGUGUGAAAGGCCAAGUUAGUUAAGCAAAACCCUCACGAAAGUUCCUUUAACAUUGAUUUGAUGGAAAGGGAGAAUGGCCCCAGCUCAAGACCCUCGUCUCACUCAACUAUAAAUAAGUCAUUAGCUUUUAUCAUUCGAAAAAAGACGUGUUAUCUUGUACAAGAACAUAUCGAUUACAAGCUUGCAGCAAACACAUCGAAUCUUGAACAGACGACCUUACUACGAUCGGGUGAUGAUCUGAAGGCGAAAAGCGAACUUAAGAUUUGAUUCCUCCUCGCUAAAGAUGUUGUCUGAAGGACUAGUAAAAUCUUCGGGGGUUUCAGUUCUGUUAUUAUAGUACUGUUGUCAGCUUCCUCAACUCGGGCGAUGAAAAAAAAUCCACGCUAUCUACACAACUUGCUUGCUACGGGACAAAGUUUUACCCAACUUCUCUGCCCAGAAUCCCACGUUCCUUUCAGUAAUGGUCCCUCCCAAAAUCAUCUUUCAACUUGUCAAAUUCAAAAAAAAAUAAAAAUAAGCUAUAAACACAUGUGACUAGCACUCCCGUGUACGUUCCCUUUCCUUAGCGUGAACUUAACAUAUCUACUUUUUAACUUUGAAAAAAAUUAAAAAAAAAAACGAGAUUGGACGCAUGCUUUUGUCAGUCACAAGGCCGAAUUUGACACAUUUGACACAUUUGACGCUGUUGAGACAAGGUUUUUCCAUACCCUUUCGUCGAGAUUUUCGACUAAGGACUACGAGGUGGUCCCCAGGAAUAUCAAAGGGGACGAUUUUACUUUGAAGAAAGAGGCUUUCUGCCCACAAAUCCCAUCUCCUAAAACUCGUUAAAAGGAAGGAGAUUCUCUUCUCCUAAACGAAAAGGGGUGGCGGCAUAAGCUGCGAUUAGAAGACACUGUUUCUGGUAGCACAACACUAUCACGGGUCCGACAGGGAAAGAAAUAUAUAUGUGAAGCAGCUUUUUCGCAGAAUCAUUUGUGUUUUGUAUUCAUGCAUGAAUUUAUGUGCUGCAAUCGAUUGAAUUAUCAAGUUCUCGAUGCUACCGAACUUAAUAUAUAUGUUACUAAAAUUUAACAUAUCUAUAGCAACUUAGGUGUACAUAUAUGUUACCAACCAAACCCUACCUAUAGUGCGGCCAUGAAAUAGAAAUAAAGAAACCCUACUUCUUAUGUUAUCUUUGUUUUCUAUCACGAAUUUUCGUAAAGAGAGAGCGGCGGGACAUGAAACGGUGAGAGCUGCCUAAAGCUGGUUGGUUUAUGAAUAUUAACAUAGAAAACUUCGACAGGAUGGAAAAAAAAUAAGACUUUUCCGCAUAUUAUCGAACAAUGCAGGUUGAUGUGUGAAGAAAAGUAAUCGGCUCUUACCCGUCCGAUCUCCUCCCAGAGCGAGGAGUUGAACGACGCGGCGGUCGUGAUGACCUGAGGGAAGCUGGUGGCCCCGGGGAAGGCCCCACCGAACCUGGUCCCCGGCCCGACGUUGGAGACCCCGUGGAGCGCCUCGGACCACCACUCGUACCCCUGGAUGCCCAGCCUCGGCACGGCGGCCGCGUUGUUGACGAGCAGCCGGAUCUUCUCCUGCAGCGUCAGCUGCCCGAUGAGGUCCCGGACCCGGACGUGGAUCGGGAGGGCCACCCGGCAGAACCUCAGGCCCCUGGUGAGGCCGCUCCGCGGGUCGCAUGCGAACGGGACGCGAGCCGCCCACGAGGUGGGGGCGAGGAGGAGGAGGAGGAGGAGGAGCGAGAGCGCCGCCUUGGCAUUGGCUUUGGCGGCCGCGGGGGUGUGUGGGAGUGAGAGCUUGGUGGUGGUGGUGAGCAGCUUACGUCGGACCAUUCUUUUUCUUUCUUUUCUUUUGGGCAAAAGGAACGAUAAUGGUAUUAAGAUAGAACGCUGUCGUCCUCCCGUGGUAUUAUUACGGGAUUAUCGUCGAGCAUUUAUAGGACAGGUUGGUGACGACGAUGGCGAAUGGAACAGCUCUAACGAUUGAAUUUCCACGUCAACCGGCGAUAGAAAGAGCCGUCCACGAGAAACACAGAAAGAGUGUUGAAUGGCUGGAAAGAUAAAAAGAAAGAUCGUGUACACUACUCACUUAUCCAAAAUAAAGAGAAAGAGAGGAAGACAAAGAGUGUGCGCUGAGUGUUUUUGAGAGAAUAUCGGGAGAUAUAUUGCUAGAUAUUUAGUGAUAUUUUCUGAUAUUUCAUUAUUUCCCAAAUAGGUAGUAAUCUUGCUAGAUUAAGAUAGCUAAUUAUCUCGUUGAAUUUAGAUUACUCGUUUCUCGUAUGCAUUGAUUAAGUAUAUGUAAUAAGCACUUUGAUCACCCACAAGAUAGAUAGGAAAAAUCGAUGGAUGAUUCUACAAUGAGAAACUUGUUUUAAGUAUAUCGGGUCGAUUUCAUAAAAUAUUUCGUUUCAUUUGCAGAACUCAAGUACCAAAUUAGAUUGAUGACCUCAAAAAUUACUUUCAACGGAUUUAAAUAAGACAUGAAAUUAGAAUUCGAUAAAUAAAUAGGAAAAUCUUGUGUUUAAAUGAUGGGAUAGGAGACUCUGAUAAACAUAAUUUCCGAAUUGAAAUGAAGAGCUCCUCCACUGCAAAUCCGAACACGACAGUCUGCUUGCGUCACUGGUGAUUUGGGGGUAUACACAGAAAGAUCCUGAUAUGAAUAAUGACAAUUACUGGCCAUCACCUAAUGGAAAAUAAAAAUUGGAAAGGAAUUAUUUUAUUUAUCUGUAUAUAAUAUUAUUCAUAAUAAAAGAAUAAUGGGCAGAAAAAAUGAAAAUUAAAAAAAGCGUGGUCACGGAAUCGAACUUUUUCCUGACAUAUGUUAUGGGGGAGAUGGAUGGAGGGGCGACUGUCACAUUAGCCGCACCAUCCACGUUUUUCUUUGUUUUUUUCUGCUGCACUUUUUAUCCAAAUUAAAAUGAGAUAAUAUUUAUUUAAUCUCUCUCGUCCUCUCCUGUCCUUCCAUCAAGAAAUGUACAUUAAUUGAUCAAGUUCUCAAUUUGCAAAAAUCGUGUUCUUUAUUGAACGACUAUAUUAUUAUUUUGCAAAUCAUAUGAUCAUUUGAUAUCGAUCCCAACAAAUAACAAAGAAAAAAAAAAGCAAAUUCAAUAUCGAUUUUCCCAUAAAAUUAUGCAGCAUUAUUUUCUGUGCUUUGGAUCGGUCUGGCUUGCAUUAUUGGUUGGUUGGUUGACGCAAUCGUGCAAAAAGUAGCAUUAGGUGAAGAUAUGUGUAGCGAGCUCCCGAGCGUGCUUAGCCUUUCCGUUCUUUCCGCCCAUCUAUACUUCGAAAACUAGCCUCCUUGCCAUACCAUUCGUCAAUAUAGUGCGUUUUCUAGCAUGGUACUUCGUCUAGUCGAAUAAAAGUCGUGACAUAUCGAUGUUAACAUGAACUCAAGACAUGGGCACAAAUCGACGGCAAGAAUUUCCGGCCGAGCUAGGAUUAGGCGGGCUUGCAAAGUCGUGGAUUGUUUUUGAGAUCAUUGGGGUGAGGGAUCUGUGGAAACUCUUUGUCAAGCUCGUGAAGGGGGCAGGCAUGACUUACUGCACUCCCGUGACCGCAGGGGGUCGGUUCUACCGAAGGAUGAAAACGUUUCGGUCUAGUUUUUUUUUUGUCUCUUUGACUGGCUCAUGUGCCUUUUAGCUCUUGUGAACUCUCUCCUCUCAUAGAUGCUGCUUUUGGCUUUAAAAAAAAAAAAUUUGAAAAAUUAUAAAGAAAAUUUAAAAAAAUUGAAGAUGCUCAAGCACCCCUCGGGGAAAGUAAUUUAAUCAUUCUAUUUUUCUGUAUGAAUGUAUCAUUUCUGGUGACUAGGGAGCAUAUGGGUAGCUUAGCUUCCAAUUUUGCUAUAUUGAUUGUAUGACUGGUAAUUUGUGGAGAUGGGUCAGUCGAAAGCUACAUCUCACGUUUUCUAUAGUUACCAAAGAAUCAAGGAGAAGAUUCUCAUCUAACCUAUUGCUAGGUCUAAUUAAUUAAAUUCAUGAGUUUGAACUCCAAGGCUCGAGCCACGACAGAAAUCCGUGAUGGGAUAAAUGGAAGUUUUGGCAUCCCAUGUGAUUCUUCUUUUGUUUUUCUAUUUUUGCUUAAUUCCUAUGCGGCAAUCAAGUUUGUUUAUGGUUUUUGUUUAUAUAGUUUUCCCAUGGAUAGCUGUACAAUGAGGGAGAAUCUUUUCCAUUGAGGAUGGUCUGAAAUGGGACGUGUUCCACUAGGACAUGGAAGUCGAUAGCUUUGCGUCGGUGAAUGGUUCUUGUUUCACAUAUGUUUCAUUUUGCAAAAAGCGCAAACGGCCACACUAAGUAUAUUAUGAGUCUGUUUGUAUAUUUUGAGUGUUUGCGCCGCAAUUUUAUUUUGAGUUCCAAUGCUAAAUUAGCCGUCACGUCAAAAGACAUGUCUUACGAGUUAAUUCUAGUUUUACAUAUAUAAUUCAGGAACGCUCUCCCCUCAUUGGGUGCACAAUUACUCCUACCCCAUUCAUCAUUCUAGAAGCCUUGAAAAUCACUACUUAUCUGGGUCCUCACUGCGACAAUCAGUCCCUCCUCUAGAUCGUGUCAUUACAAGCCUAUCAGUAACUGUGUGAUUCGUUUCCAAACUAUAUUUCUAUCAAAUUUCCUUUCACCUAUGUACACAUGCAAUCACAUAUAUAAUUAUCUCUCAUUCAUCUUAGGUUUCAACAAUUGUUCAUUGAUACACAUCAAGUUCUCACAAUUUAUAAGGUCUUCAUCAAUUUGUUAGCAUUAAGUGAUAAGUAUGUGUAACUGCUUUCUGCAUAUUUUUUUUGAUAUUCACUAUAUUUUUCAAUAUUUCUCACAAAUAUUUCUUUGUCUCGCUCUUCUCAAUUUAAAGAUUCUAAAAGCCUCUUUAUCUCGUCCUAGCACUAAAAUGCUGCGAUCGGCGCCGGUGUUGCUUGAAGAGCGUUGAAAGUCGACUUAGCAAAAAGAGGAAAAGAAAAAAGAAACAAGAAAGAAAAGAAAUAGUUUAUGAUAAUCGUGAGUUUAAGGAGGAAAGACCACUUCCGCUCGUGAUUUCUACGCGUUAUCUUCGCAUCGAUUUAAGUCCGUGUGUACAUAGGAGUAACAUGAAGAGAAUUGCUCAUCUAAUCUCUAACAGUCAAAUAACCAAUGAAAUCUCGCGCUUGUGACUCUUGCUGUUGCCCUAGAAUCCUCAAGAGCGAUUUGAAUUCAAAAUAAUCAGAUGGUUCCUGAGCUCGAAUGAUGAGGUCUGUCGAAAACCUCAUCAGAGAUCUUCGUCACUGAACCCUCAGUUAUUGUGGUUGUCUCUGUACCCUGCAGUGUCCAUGCUCGAAUUCAGCCUUUUCUGUUGGCUUCUUUAAAACCUUAUACAACGAGCCAUAUGAAGCACGAAACUACGACCAAGCAGACCAGAACAAGUUGUCUUAAAAAGCUUUACAUGCCAGUUUGUGUUCUGUCAGCAUAUCUCCGGCAUGCCUGCCGCUUUCCCACUCCCACACGUGAAGAAUUCGAGAAACCGAAUGGAUUCGGCUUUGGGGUGGUAAAACUUUUCCAACUGUGCAGCCAUAAAUUCGAAUUUCUCAAAUUUUAAAAUAUAAUCCGAUGAUUUCAAUUAGAAAUUAACUAUCUAAACAAUCAAGACUCAUGUUCGAAUUAUACAUAGCUAGAAACCAGAUAGAUAUAUACCAUAUAUUUCAUGAUUAUCUUCUAUAUGCCACAUCAACUAUAUGGUGGGAAAUGGGGAGGGCCGAUGAUAGCAACUCGUGUCUCCUUUCUUACUUAGGAAACCAAUACUCGUGCACGAGAUUAAGCCAAAAAAGAUGACGACAAAAAAGAACAGUAGAAAUAACGAAAAGUCGCAAAUCUAAAAGUACUAGGAAAAGAGUUGCAUCAGCAACGAGUUUUAUCUCCCGAUCUCUAUCCCCAUCUCCUCAGUUCUUAGUCGGCAGACGACAAAACCUUGAUGACUUGUGAAGGUAGGUUUACGUGCGGCUCUUGCCAAUUAAAAACUCUCUUAAGCUAUGCUUCCCUCGUGGCCAGUCUCCUGCAAUUACUCGAAAAACCAUGCAUGAUUGGAGACCUGAAAGCGACAGGUUUCGCAAUCAUAAAUGUCCUAUUGGCUAACGUGAGGCCCCCAAGCGGGUCAAUGAAAUCGGCUCCGUUAUCGACUGAUAUAUGAUCAAAGGUCAGGACCCAUCUAUCCAGAUCAUUUUGGGGUCGUGCCACCACAUUCUUGGAUGAGAAUGACAACGACGUAGAUUUCUGAUAUGUGGUUCGCAAAUAGUGCAAGAGUUUGCUCCGGCGAGCUCCGGCGAGUGAAGACAUAAUGUAUUUUCCUGAAGGCUAGCUAGUUCUAAGAGUGGAAAUUAGGUGACUUUCUCGAGAUGGUUGUACUUAUCAUCGCCCCAAAUUAUGCGCAAAUGGAACUUCGGCCGGUUGUGCACAAAAUAGAAAAUCGAGAAGUACGUGGGAUAGUUCAUGCAUGGAUGGGACCGACACAUCGAUUGGGAUGUGAUUGAUUAAAGGCAGAUGUCUAUGCGUUUACAAAAGAUCCAGCAGAGGAAUGGGAGGCGUAUGUGGCUGGAUAUAAUGUUCUUAUCCAAUGGGAAUAUCACAAGGGAGAUCGGAUAGACCUGCCAUGCAUGCAAUGGAACCACUUUGGUAGGUUUUUUUGUUGCUACCUUGGCUUUAUCCUCCAAUUAGCAUCCUGUUGCUUUAAUUUCCUUCCAAUUUGGAAACUCUAUCCAUCUCUAAUUGCACAGAACACUGCUUGUGAUGUUUACAUCGUGAUUGACAGUUCCUUAGCACCUUGGAUAAGAGUAUAUGGUGAGAUAGAUAUCAGGUCGGGGUCGAACAUAAGAUAAUAUCGAUUACAUGGAGAAAUCGAUCAAGAUUCAUCCCCUCUAUGAAAUGAGCGUGUAAGGGUUUUGUCUAUUCAACUUCCGAUGCAAUGUACAAGUAUAAUGUGAGUAGCAUCUUGGAUAAGAUUAUAUGAUUUAGACCAACACCGGGGUCGGCGCCGAACAGAUAAGAUAAUAUCAAUUAGGUGGAGAGAUUGAUCGAGAUUCAUCCUCUUUAAGACAUGAGUAUGUUAGAGUGUUGCCUGUUCUAUAUUUAGUGCAAUGUGCAAUUAUAGCAUGAACACUUGUAAAGUGUAAUCGUAGUGUAAUGCGCAAUUAUAGUAUGAGUACUCAAAAAAGUGCAAUCGAGCAAGAAUUUUUCCAAUUGGGAUCUAUAUGCAGAAAAAGAUUUGAGACUAGCUACCUAAAAAAAUUUCUUGAUUUUGCAAAUAUUCUCCCUUCAUCUUCGUUGAGCAGGGAUGAUAGGGCUUAUUUUGCAAGGAAUAAUGUACUCGCUAUCUCCCGAACCAUCUCUUAAAUGCAAAGCACAGUGCAAUGAGUGCAUAUCACUCUCAUUUUAAAUGCAAGGCAACACUUGCUUUUCAAUCUUACAUCAGUACACGAUUUUCGUCGAUAGAUAUUUAUAUGUAUAUGAAGCUCCUAUGGGGCACGCUUAUGUGCGAAAUUUACCCAGCAAUUUUUAUUUUAUGAUCAUUUUAGAAUACCUCUGAUUUUAGCAUCUCUGUAAUUACGUAUCUCUCAAAUUAUAAUGAAUUUUCAAGUUUAUAAAGUCUUGCAUAUAAUUUAUAUGAUUAUUCUUCUCAUUGAAAGUAUGGCAGAAAUUAUCUAAAAGUAGGGCUCAAAGGUGAUGGAGCAUACUCCUCCGUCUAAGUUAUAGUGCAUGGUAAUUCUUAUCAUUAAAGGUAAGGCUUAUUAUGUAAUAAAACAAAUAACUGUCACACAAAAAGUAAAAAGAAUCAUGUUCCUUUAUACUUAAUGAAUACGACUCCCAUCACUUAUAGUUGUUGAAUUAAGGGCCAUAAUAAGCUCUCAUGUGAGAACUUCUAAUCAUCACAGUAGUUUAUAAUCAUUAAUAAAAUGCUUUUAUUUCAAAAUAAUGAUAUACAAUUAGAUGAAAUAUCGAGGAUAGAGUCCUACAUAUGGUAUAUUUCUAAUUAUUUGUAUUCCUAUAUAAACUAUUUUUGCAAUUAUUAAGCCAUUCAUUUCAAAAGCGCCUAUUUAGUAGACCGUGCAUCCUCAUUUGGAUUCCAUGUCUCAUACAAAAAGGCGAGUGUCAAAUAGAAAUUUUGUUCGAACUCUUUUAUUUGUGAGAAAAUGACAAAAACUCUCUAAAUUUCGACCUAAUAUACAAUGUCAUUCUUACAAUUUUUUUUUUAUUCAUUCAAUGUGAUCAUUAAAUUAUUCUUAAAUGUUCAAUCUAAUUCCUCAACUUUUCAUUACAAAAUUAAAUAUGUCCCUCCGUACUAUAAAUAAGUUUUCAUAAUUACACCUCUGCACAAAUUUUAGAUUAUCUUUACAUAUCAAUCAAUUUCUUAAAUCAACAAAAUUAAACUAUCUUUUGUUGUGACCUACCCUUUGGAGGAAGGAAUAUGUUUAGAGGUAUUGCCUAAAAAACAGGCCUAUGGCCCAAAAUUAGACACGGGCUCUCCCAAGUUCAUACCUUGCACGACAUUGGAGGGUUCAUAAGAAUUUUAUAGUAAAGAGUCAUCAUUAGUCUAUUAGGGUCGACUAAAAAAUCAAGUGAAGUAUGGGAGGAUACCUUACUUCCUACGCAACUAGAGAAUCUAGGUUUAAGAACUUGAUUACACUAAUUAACCAAUUAGUUCCCUUUUAAUACCUAAUCUUGUUCAUUUUCAAAAGGAGAUGUUUUUGUUGGGCAAUCUGGAUUGAUUUUAUACAUAUCAUCAUAUGGGUACACAAUUGUUAACGUAACAAUUAGCAACCAAGGGAAGCAUUAAAUACAUUUCACAAGAUAACAAAGAUUUAACUCUAAAAAGAAAGAAUCCCAACUGGAAUAAAGGGGAGCAAAAAUCAAUGUACCAAAAUUGUGCAAUCAAGGUAUUAAUCUUUAAGAACAACUAAAAUCUUAAGGUAAAACAUAAUGGCUCAAUCAACCUUAAGUAGGAUUCCAAAUUGGAAAACUUCCAAUUUUUUAGGAGAAAAUAACCCAAGAGAUUAAUUUUAAGGGUUAAUACCCUAAAAAACCUCAAAUUGGUACACAUGUACCACAAACUAUUUUUUUUACCAUGAAAAACCCCAAAUCGGUACAUUUGUGACAAAUUUACCCCGAUUGAUCAUAAAAAAAACCCUAAAUCGGUACAUUUAUGAUAAAUUUACCCCAAACUAAUUUACUUGACUGCAAAAAAACCUUAAAUUGGUAAAUUUGUGACAAACAUACCCUCUGCUAAAUUGAAUUAAUACAAAAAAAAUCACAAAAAUUGUAAACUGUGACAAACAAACCAUAAAAUCCCAAAUUGGUAUAUCACUCAACUGUCACAUGUCAUUUAACUUAAUACUUUGAUAAUAAAAUUUAAUGAAAACUAACAGAGGGUAAAUUUGUAACAAGUGUACUAGUUUGGGAUAAAUUUGUCAAACAUAUACUAGUUUGGAAUUUUUAGUGAUCAAAAAAAUAAUUUUGAGUAAAUUUGUUACAUGUAUACUAGUUUAGAGUUUUUCAAUGUAUUUACCCUAAUUUUAACAUUUUUGAAGAUUUUUUAAUUUUUUAGAAUUUUUUUGGAUUUUUCAUAAAAGUUGAAUUUUCGAAUUUUCCAAAACAAUUUGGUUUUUUAAUCUUUUUGGAUUAUUAUUUUUUUUUGGUGUCUUUCUAAUUACUACCGAAAUGUUUAGACUUUCCUGAAUUUUGGAAUUUUCUGAGAAUUUUUUAAUUUUCCUUAAUUUUCUAUUUUUUUUUAAAUUUUUUUUAAAAACUCGAAAUUUCAAUUUUUUUAAUUUUUUUUGAAUUUUUAAUGCUAUUUGAAAGUUGUUGAAUUUUCAGAAACUUUUUGAAUUUUAUUAUUUUUCGAAAUUUUUAAUUUUUUGAAAACUUUUAAUAUAUUUUUAAUUUUUAAUAUUAUAAUAUUCGAGAAAGCGGGUUUGGACCGGAUAAAUCCGAUCCGACUCGAUGACCCGAGCCAAAAUCCGAUCCGACUCGAUGACCCGAGCCAAACCUAGAUUCGACCCAGCCGGAUAUAUAUAUUUAUAUAUUUGGUCAAAACAGUCGGAUAAAAGAACGAAAUUUUUUAAUUAGUUUAGCUUUACUUUAAAAAAAAAAAUCUAUUUUUCUUUCUUUUUUCUCUUUUUGUCUUUUCCUUACUUUGUUAUUUUCCUCUGCACCCCUCCUUCUCCACCUAACGUCCCAUCUCUGUCCUUUCUUCCCUUUUGUCUUUUUUUUCCAUUUCUUUUCAUUACCCAUUUUUAUUUCUUUUUCUUUUCUUUUCUUUUCCUUUUACUUUUCUCUUCCCUCUCGGUCUUCUUUUCUUCGUGCGUUCUCUGCACGCCCGAAGCCACCUUCUCUCCUACGCUCCUUUUCACCGAAACCCAUCGACCAAACCAAAAACGAGCCUCACUGCCCUUCGUCACCGGCGUCGACACCGCCCGCGCUCUGGCCACCGCCGAGCCGACACCCACUCUCUCACCCCAUACGGACAGGGAGGAAGACGGGACAUAACUUGCACAAAAAUAAGCUCAAAUCACAACAUAUGGCCAUAAGCCCUAAUCACGACAAUGUAAACUCGAAAUGGACCAAACAAAAGCGUGUAGAACAGCAACAAAACACAUCUAGCAACGGCGGACGCCUAUAAUGAACAAAGGUUCAGGAAUAGUCAUGCGGGCUUCACUCAGGCAUUUAUACAAACAGUUCAAGAGCAUUAUCAAGUGUUUAGAUUUCCUACUCAACCGGGACUCGAAAUGGGACCAGGAUUCUCGGAAAACGACCAAAAACACACAGAGACUUGGAUAAAGACCUACGGGGGCCGGAGGGACCAAAGCUCAUGCGAACGGGUCGGCCACGAGCUCCGGUCCGAUGCCCUACAAAAACGGACCAUACAUGACCAGAGGAAACCUACCUGGUUUGGUUUGGUGGGGGUACCGCGGCGGACGGCGGCUGACGGACGAGCCACCGACGACGGCAGAUCACUCUCUCGGGCUCAUGCUCUUGUUUCUCUCUCUCGGCCAAAACCUGCGGAAAAACAAGAAUCCCUCUCUCUUUCUCCUGGACUCUCGCCGAAGACCUGUUCUCUUUCAAAUGAGCGAGCCCUUUCACUUUUAAGGGCGACCGGCAAGGGCACAUGGCCUUUGCUGCCGCGAGCUUGCCGGCCGGACUGAUCCCCACCCGCGGAUCACGCCGCCAUCUGCCCCUCGCGAUCCCCUGCUCCUCUAGCUCAUGCUCUACAUUUCCUCCCUCUUUUUCAGAAGCGUGGCUAGCAUGAGGGGGGAAGAAGAUUGACUUGUGCGCGGGCCGGGUUGAAAUAAAACGAAAUGGGCCAGCCCAAGCGCAGAAGGGAGAAAAGGCAAAAAGAUAGGUGGGCAAGCCCACACAUGAAGAAACACCCUCUACUCGGUCCCAUUCGAUUUUUUUAUUUUUUUAUUUUUUUUGGUAAAAGUAUGUAAACCCCAUUCGAUUUUUCUUAUACCUUUUAAUGAAAUUUUUUUUAUUUUUUUUCUUUUUGAUGACAAAAAUUUUGGAAAAAUCUAAAAAUGACCAUUCAAUGCGUGGUGCAAUAAUGAAAACACGAUACCUUUUAAUGAUUUUUUUUUUUACUUUUCUUCCUUCUUUUUUUAAUUUUCGAUUUUAAAAAAAAUUAUUUUUAAUUUUAAUAAUUAGUGAUAGUUAUGCAAAUGCUCCUAAUGUCUACACGUGAUGGAUUUUAAUGAAAACCUACUCAAUGCAAUUUAAUGAAAAUUAUUUACUUUACUCUUUACUUCCUUCCUCUUUUUUUAGCGACUAAUUCAUUACGUGUAGAGUAAAUUAUUUUUAAAUUAUUUUUAAUUUUUGUAUAUGAUUAAUUCUUAAAUAAAAUGGUAAAAUUUAGGUAUCGACAUCUUUUUAUUACUUUUUCCCUUUUUUGGUCUUUAAAAAUAUUAGUAUAGUUCCAUUCGAGUAUAUUUUAAUUUAUGAUCUCUAUAAGGAAAAGUACCAAAAAAGUCUUAAACAUAUUGUAUAGGUACCAAGUUAGUUAUAAAUUUUUUAAUUAGACCAAUUUGGUCAUAAAUUUUUUCGCAUUAAUACAAAUUCAAUCCAUUCGAUUAAUUUAAAUCGGAAAUUGUUGAUGUAGACGCCAACUAUCUUACAUGACACAGCUAGCACUAACGCAUAUAUUUUUUAAAUAAUUUUUAAUAUUUUUCGAUUUUUUAAUUUUUUUUCCUUUUUUCUUAUUGUUCAUUCUUUUUUUUUUCCUAUUCUUUCUCCUUUGCCCUAUGGCCGGUACUGGCCACAACCAAGGGCUAGCAAGGGCGUUGUGACUCUCACUAGAUUUAGUGAGGGCAUGACCCUCGCGGCUUGGGCAAGGGCUCAAUCCUUGUCACUUGGGAGAGGGAGCCCUCCCCAAGUUUGGCGAGGGCAUGAUCCUCGCAGACUAGGCGAAGAUCCAGCGGGGGUCGUCCUUGCCCAGGCCGUGAGAGUCGUGCCCUAGCUAGAUUUGGCAAGAGCUGCACUUGCUAAGGCCAUGAGGGUCAUGCCCUCACCAGAUUCAACGAGGGUGAUCGUUGCUUGUGGCCAAUCACCGACCACAUUGCAAAAGAGAAAGAAAAGAAAAGAAAAUUAAAUGAUAAUUAAAAAAUCAAAAAAUAAAUUAAAAAUUCCUACAUCAACGCAGACUCUAAAAGGUAGAACGCCCAAUGUCCACAUUAGUGAUUUUCUGUAUAAAUUAGUAGAAUGGACUGAAUUGGUACCAACAGGAAAAUGUUUAGGACUAAACUGAUUCAAUUGAAAAGUUGAGGACCAAAUUGGUAUUAAUAUACUAAGUUUAAGACUUUUUUUGUACUUUUCUAGAUCUCUAUAAUGGUAAAAAUAUGUGUUUUCAUAAUAAUAGUUAAUGAAAAUAUGAAUUUUAUUUUUAGAUUUCUAGUACUCAAAUUUAGCUACAUCCUAUUCCUAAUUUCUUAAAUAGACAAAUUUACAAUUCUUUGUGUUUCGCAUUUUGUUAAUUAAAUUUAGUUGAAUUCAUAAAUUAGCAAAUUAAAAGAACAAGAAUAUUAAUCGAUACUACUCUAAUGAGAUUCUAUUUUCACUAUUAUAGAAAUCAUAAACUAAAGCACACUUAAAUGGAACUAUCCUAAUAUAAUUAAGAUGAAAAAAGUAAAGAGUAAUAAAAAGAUAGCCAAAUUUUUUGUUGACCCAGGAAAUGGCCUGAAAUAAAAAUAUAUUAUAACAUCUAGGCAAUAGUAUUUUAAUGAAAAAUUUUGACUUUUUUUUUUUAUGAAAAGCAAAAAGACUAGAUUGACCAAACGACCAAUUUAGAGACUAAAAACCAAAAACUCUCUCUCUCUCGACUGUGAAGAGCUAUCUCUACUCUAUGGGGUAGUCGGUCCCCUUUUAAACCCUAAAUCUCCUCUUGGAGUUGGCAAUCCCAUCAUAAAUUUCCUCCCGGAGCAAGGAUCCUCUAGGCGCUUGGGGCUCUUCCUUUCGGAUUUUUUGGAAGUUGAGGUAGGACUCUAUCUUUCUCAUCCAUCUUUAAUCAAUUUUCUGGGAUGGAGGGAGAUGACGCUAAGGCCUUGAGAAUGGCUACUCUGUGUAGGCAUCUGGGAAAUAUGUGAUGUGAAAAAGGUUGCCAUUAGUGAUGAGUUGGUUUCUAUAGAGAAAAUCAAAGAAAGCAAACUUACACUCUUUGGGAAGCUUCUUAAUAACCCUAAUAUCAAUUUUCAAGCUUUCCAAAACACAAUGAGGAAAGCUUGGUGAACAGAAAUGAUAAAUUUUGAGAAUCUAGAUACCGGUAUCCUUUAGGGCUGUGCAAAAUACCCGGGAUUUGCUCGAACCGCCCGGAACCGGACCGAAACCGCCCGGAACUAGCAGUUCUUAAGGGAACCGGUCCGGUUCCCGGUUCCAGUUUUUGCGAACCGGUGGGAACCGGUCCAAUUCCCGGUUCCAUAGGCGGAUUCGCCCGCCCGCCCACCCGAACCAGACCGGUUCCCUUUUAAUAUUAAAAAAAAAAAUUACUAAAACAAACCUAGGUCUCUCUCUCUGUCUCUUCCACUUCUCUUCGGUUUAUGCGGCUGCCUCUCUCUCUCUCUCUCUCUCUCUCUCUCUCUCUUCCUCAAUUCCUCUCGCUAUUUCGAUUCCUCCUCGGUGACUUGUGCGUCCGCCUCACCGCACGAGCCGCGAAGCCGCUGUAGCCCAAUCGUCCGCCACCCUCCUACCCGCGCCGCUUCGAUCUCAUACCUGUGCACCCACCGACCUGUGACAGCUCCGCACCUCCACCAUCGUCGUCUUGCCAGAUCCACCUUCCCCCUGACGUUCAGCACCGCAACCGCCGCUCGUUUCUUCACGCCGAUGGCCGCGACUCCAGCAACCCAUGAGACCCAUCCGCGACCAACGCUCGGUGUCCCUUGCUUCAGCCGCGCUGAUUUCACUCGACGACUACAGAUCUGAGCUCAUCUCAGCCCUGACGCCGUCGCUGUUCAGCCUCCCUGCCAGAUCCGCCUUUCCCGCGACGUGCAGCACCGCAACCGCCGCUCAUUUCUUCACGCUGGUGGCCGCGACUCCAGCAACCCACGAGACCCAUUCGCAACCAACGCUUGGCGUCCCCUGCUUCAGCCGCGUUGAUCUCGCUCGACGACUACAGAUCUGAGCUCAUCUCAGCCUUAACGCCGUCGCCGUUCAACCCCCUACCAGAUCCGCCUUCCCCCCAACGUGCAGCACCGCAACCGCCGCUUGUUUCUUCACGCCGGUGGCCACGACUCUAGCAACCCACGAGAUCCAUCUGCGACCAACGCUCAGCGUCCCCUGCUUCAGCCGCGCUGAUCUCGCUCGACGACUACAGAUCUAAGCUCAUCUCAGCCUUGACGCCGUCGCCAUUCAGCCUCCCAGCAACCCGCGAUCCAGUUCAGCGACCCGCGACCCAGCUCCGCCGCAGCCUCUCGCCCAAGCGACCCUUCUGCAGAUCCCGAAGAACUAGCGUCACCCGCGUCAAGAUUGGUUCCAUAGAUCCACCCGGGAACCGGACCGGACCGAUGGUCCGGUUCCCGAGCGGAUCCAUGCAACAAACGGGUGGAUCCCGGUUCCAAUUUUUCGGAACCGGUACUUAGCGGGCGGUUCCCGGUUCUAGGUCGGGAACCGCCUGCCCGGACCAUGCACACCCCUAGUAUCCUUGCCAUUACUUUCCAAUCUGAAGCUGAUUUAUCUAGAGUUGUGGAUUCUGGCCCCUGGAGUUUCUCGAAUCAUCUCCUCAUUCUCAAACAAUUGGUACCCUCAACUCCUCCUUAGUGUUACAAUUUCAGUAUGUAUGACUUUUGGGUGCAAAUCUACGGUUUACCUUUUGAAUGGAGGACAAAAGAGAUACUUUCAUGCAUAGCAAGUAGUAUUGGAGAGGUAUCUUAGAUUAGAAUGGAGAAGAAAAAUAUCUCAAAUAGAAAUAGUAGUCAAGUAAAGGUCGCCUUGGAUGUAUCCAAACCCCUGAUCCCAUACACUUUCAUUGAUUAUAAAGGAAAUAAUACGUGAAUGGAUUUUAAGUAUGAGAGAUUACCUUAUUAUUGCUAUGCAUGUGAGAAAAUUGGGCACUGCGCAAAACAGUGUCAGGAUGUUCCCUUUGAUGAAGACAAAAUUGAGGAGCAUCGGGUAGGGUAUUGGAUAAAGGUUAAGGCGAAGGAGUAUAGCCCUUAUUGAAAAAUUUUCUAUGGAAAGAUUGAAGAUAAUAGCAUGGAGGAGGAGGCUAUCCCAGAAACACCUGCUAAUGUUGAAUUGAUUGAACUAGAGGAACAAAAUUUCACGGAAGAAAUUCCAUCAUCAAAUAAGGAGUUUAUCCAAAAAAGAAAAGGCAAGGAAACCUGCCUGGAGAAAGGAAAUUUAAUGCAAGAGUAGGCCCUAGUUCCCGUGAUAAUACCUAGAAUUUCCCCUGUUUUGGCUCUUGUCAAACCCCAUUCACCAACCUUGGCUCUUCAACCUGUGGCAAAAAUUAAAAAGCAGAAGAAAAAAUUGUGUUAAAAUUCAUACCAGCAAGAAGCAAAAAGAUAUAUCAAAUAUAAAACCUGUCAUGACCCGAACCCCGGGCACCUGCACAUCCCUCAAUGGUCGAUUUAAAAAUUUACAACAUCCCAAGAAUUGUUGCCGACCCAUUCAUUAUUUUGCACAUGCGGAAAUGUAAAACAAUCUCCAUACAACAAAAUAGUGGGAUAGAAACGUAUGGUAUUAUUUUUCACAUGCCAUACCUAUAACAUCACAUUACUUAUAGACCAGUUUAAUACCCCAAAAUCUAAUACAAAAAGUGAAGCUAUUCGAUUACCCACUAACUAAGCUUCUACCAACAAGACUAGGGUUUACUACUACCAUGCUUCUCGAUUUCUCGGGGGUGAGCCGUCACCCUACAUCUAGGCUUGACGGAAAACCCGUCAUCCUCAGAAGGAGAUAGCGAGAGUCCUAUUCUUCCUUUACUGUGACCGACUGUACACGACCUGGCCUUCCUCCAUUUUGAGACCUGAAAAAUGUUAGCCCAUUAAGGGGUGAAAUCACAUCUUAGCGAGUAAAUCUCCUAAAUCCAGAUUAGGAGAAUAGUACACUCAACAUGCAAUCUAAUCGCCUUUCUCACACUUUCUUAAUACCAGUACUUUCAUGCAUGUUAGUGUCAAUUAAUUCAUACAUAAGAUAUCGAGAUCAUAUAUCAUCAAAAUACUUUUAACACACAUAUAUAUAUGUAAGGACAUAAAUGUCACAUAUUUACCCGAUCCCCCAAUUACCAAGCUAAACCGUUAUGGCACGUCUCAUACCACACUACACAGUUCCGUCUUUUAAUUAGGUCCCUCACUUUCACCCAUUCAUGCGUCACAAAUGAUUUCAAUGCUCAGAUAAUAGUCUUCCGGCAUAAUUGGGCAUUUCAUGUAUCACAAAUGAUUUCAAUGCUCAGAUAACAGUCAUCCGGCAUAAUUGGGCAUUUCAUGUAUCACAAAUGAUUUCAAUGCUCAGAUAACAGUCAUCCGGCAUAACUAGGCAUUGCCUCGCACCGUCGAGCGCGGCAUCGUCACAUCUAGACGGCAUUCCAUAUAGGAGCAUCGGUCCAGCUUUCACUACGACCGGCAUCCAUUGACGUGGGGCAUUCCCGAAAGAGCAUCGCCUGGCCCCAAAAGCUUGUGGCGGAAGCUCAUGCCAUAAAUGCAUAUGAUCAAUGUCACACUUCAAUAAUCAAUUACACAUAGCAUUCACAGUCUCAAUUAAGCAAUUUCAUAACAAGAAUACUUCAAAACAAACAUACACUCUUACUAACCCAAAUUCACAGAAAACAGUCCAAGUACGCUCUCCCAAAUUCGAAGUCAGAAACCCACUCGUAUGAACUCGAAAAAUUCUUAAAUUUGGACACAUAUUUGAAAACACAAAAACAAACAUUUUUCAUGAAAACACCGAGAUCUAGAUCCCUCUGGAUUCGGCCCAGAAAUUCUUUCUAUCCAGCACAAAAAUCGGGUCAAGUUCCAGAGAACCUAACUCAUCGAAAUCAGUUCAUUUUUGGGUCGAAAUCUAGUUCGUUUUAUUUGAAAUUCAAGUAUGUUAAACUAAAAGUUAUAACGAACAACUUUCAUGAAGAAACCGAUUGGAAAUUUGACCUCUAAAGGUCAGUAAUUGCCCUCAGAAUCAUAAUAGGUCACGGUUUACAGAACUGUCCGAAUUACUGCUUCAAGAAUAACGUCAUGAAAAUCGUCAUCUUUUUAAAUUCUAAAAAUUCUGAGAAAAAUAUAUGUUAUUAUUAAGGAUGUCUAAAAUAUUUCUUCAGAAUAAAUUCCUUCAAAAUCGCAACACACAGUUAUCUACGAAAUUAGCAAAAUACACGUCCUGGAAACUGUUUUAGAAAUCAGCUAUUAUUCUAGUCCGAAUCUUCCUCCACGACGUUUGUCUCGUUCUCUAAACUCUAUCUAAUCUUUUUUAUGGUCAUUAUAAUAUCCCUAACCAACAUCCAUCCACAUAUAACGUUAUCUAUAUCUUUCUAACUUGUACAAAUUCUUAAUAGAGGUACUCAACCCCUAGUCAAGAUUUAGAAAUCAACUCACCACCAAAACUAAUGGCGAUUCUCACUUGUGGCCGGACGGCAACACAAGGACAGCCCUAGAAGUUUUUGACGAUGAUUUGGACCCGGCACAACGGUUGGAGGUGUCGUUGAGCGACCACUACAGCAGCACACAAAGUCCCGGAUUUUCUUGAGGAGGGGGGAACACUCGAAAUCUUGUUGUUCGGUCGCUGCUUUAUCGUCCAAGGGGGAGCAAGAAUGGCCGAAUAAACUAACUUAAAUAAGAAGAAGACAAGACUUUUUAUGGUUGUGAAGGGGAAAGGAAAUUGUUGUAAAGCUGGAUAAGGGAAAGAGAGAGACAGGUGCACGGCAGCAGGGGAGAAGAAAUAAGUGCAGAAGAAAAAGAAAAGAGGGUAAAGCAAAAGACUAAAACCCUUCGCUGAGAGAAAAGAAAUGAAAGAAAAAUAAAGAAUAAGAAAGAAAAGGGAAAAGUAAAAAAGGAAAGCAGCCCAUUUGCUGCUGCGCUUCGGUUUCCUAUGGCAAGAAAAGAGAAGCAAUGUGGGGAGUAAAUGCCUAGAAGUUACUUAGCAUUUACUCAGCAUUUACUCAACAUUUACCUUCUGCUUUUGGCCCCAAAUUCCAUGGAAAAUUGGCUCUUCAUUACUACCUUAGGUCCUACUAUCUUUUCCAAGUCCAUCUCCUUUAAAUACUGAGGAAAUUGAGAUGAAAUUGUAGGAGAGAGGGAUUUCUACGAAUUUCCUUUUGAGAAGACUUCUCUUCUUUCUUUAAUUACCAAUCUAACAUCUAAUUCAAUAGGGUCAAGUCGCUUAGUAACAACUUAUAAUACAUCUAAAUUGCUUCACAUUAGAAGCUUUAAAAUCCUACUUAAAAUGUGGCAAUUCCCUUACUCUUUUAAUUUGCUGAUCUUGCACAUUUCGUGAACAAUUCCCAUCAUCAAUAAAUUUUGAGAAAAUGCAACAAUGUCCUUGGGAUAAAUUGUGACACGUGACAAUUCUUAAUGUCUGUAAUCGACAUCAUUUCCUCGGUUAAUUUCAGUCAAAUGUGAUUUUAGCGCAACCUAAACUAUCGGUUAGUUUUUAGGAAUUUUCAGUGCAACUGACCCAUGGUCGAUUAUUCCCGAGCCACAAUGUACAUCUUCGACGCAUUGACGACUCUCGAUUGUCGUGAAAAAUCUUAAGGUUUCAAUUACGAGUAUAUGGUACCAAAACAACAAAAAAUCCGGUUUAGUGCCGAUCGACGAGAAAUUUGUAAUUAGUUGGAAUCACCCAAGCUAAAUUUUAUCUCUAUCGAAUCAACCUAUUUCCGAUUUCUGAUAGAUUUUCUACUGUGCCGAACUAAUCCUUGUAGACUAAUCCGAUCGAGCAGUCGAUUCCUGGUCGAAUUCUCAAGUUUGUUGCAUCAAAAUCCUUUAAUAACUUUCCCGAUUAGUCAAGUUAUCUCAUGAGUGAUCAGCUCAGAAAAUAGCGCUAUAAGCACGUAGACGAAAAGCCCGAUUUAUUUAAUUGAAAACAGAAGCAGAAAAUUAGACUGUUACAAAACCCAAGGAAUUCUAGAUGAAAAUGAGUUGAUGGAGGCACCUAUUCAAACUGUGGAAGAAGCAAAAUGGGUUUUAAUGGUUAACCCUAAUCCAUUGAUUUACAAAUGAAGAUUUUAUGUUGGAACUAUCAGGGGUUUGGCACACCACUGACAGUUCAAGCCACUAGAGCCUUAAUGGCUCAAGAAAUGCCCAAUAUCAUGUUUCUAAUGGAGACAAAGAAUCAAGAGCAUGUACUUUUGAGAAUGAAAAUGAGGUUACAGUUUCAUAAUAGUUUUCUAGUAAAUCCCAUAAGUAUCUCGAGGGGUCUUGCAAUUUUUUGGAAUGAGGAAUGCUCAGUUGAUGUACAGUCAUCUUCCAAGCAUUUUAUUGAUGUUGUAUGUAAUAUAAAGGAGAGUAAUUAUGUGAUGAGAACUACCUUUGUGCAUGCUCCUCCUAAGUUUCAUGACCAUCUUUUAUUGUGGGAAGAGUUAAGGAAUAUCAACAGGUCUAAUACCCUUCCAUGGGCUUGUAUAGACGAUUUUAAUGAGAUUCUCUACCAUCGGGAGACUGUGGGUUGUAGAAUGAAAGAACAUUAUCGACUAAAUACAUUCUAGGAUUUCUUGAAUUCUUGCGAACUGAUGGACAUACAAAGUAAGGAUUAUAUGUUCACGUAGACAAACAAUAGGAAAGGGCCUGAAUUUGUCAAAGAAAUGUUAGACAGAGUGCUUUGUACUAUAAAAUAGAUAACUCUUUUCCUUAAAUGCAAAAGCUUUUGCCCUUCUAGCUGUGGGCUUGGAUCAUUGUCCAAUCUUGCUAUUUUUGCUCCCAAAACCUACCAAAAGAAGUAAAAAUUUCAGAUUUGAAGUUUUUUGGACAAAGGACGAGGAGUUUAGUUUAAUUAUUCAACAGGCUUGGAACUUAGUUAAAAGGAAGGGAUAAGUGUUCCAGAAGUCCUACAACUUGUCACGAAAGUGCAUUUCAGUCCUAAAACUUGCAAAAAGUGCAUUUAAGUCCUAAAACUUGUCAAAUUGUUUCAAAUGAGUCCUAAAAUCGACGCCGUUAGCAUUUUCCGUUAAAAAUGCUGACGUGGCAUUUUAAAUAAUUUUUUAUUUUCCACGUGGAUUUUUUAAAUAAUUUUUUAUUCAUUUUUUUUAAAAAUUAAAUUUAAAAACUAAAAACUUAAAUUUAUUCUUAUCUUAUUUUCAACAAAAACUAAAAAGGAAAGUUAAAAAAAAAAUAUUUUUAAAAUUGUUAAAAAAAAAUUCAGCGGGCUCCUCUCCCCCGCCGCCGCCGCCGCCGCCCAUUGACGGAGAGAUCGGNNNNNNNNNNNNNNNNNNNNNNNNNNNNNNNNNNNNNNNNNNNNNNNNNNNNNNNNNNNNNNNNNNNNNNNNNNNNNNNNNNNNNNNNNNNNNNNNNNNNNNNNNNNNNNNNNNNNNNNNNNNNNNNNNNNNNNNNNNNNNNNNNNNNNNNNNNNNNNNNNNNNNNNNNNNNNNNNNNNNNNNNNNNNNNNNNNNNNNNNNNNNNNNNNNNNNNNNNNNNNNNNNNNNNNNNNNNNNNNNNNNNNNNNNNNNNNNNNNNNNNNNNNNUAUUAUCGCUCAAGGAAUUAGAUUCGCCCAGGGCGGGCGACGGUCGCCGGCGCUCGCCUGGGGCCGGCGAGGCCCGGCCACCCCGCCCAGGGCCGACGACCGUGGCCCGGCCCCUCCGGCGAUGGGCGGCGGCAGCGGCGGCGGCGGUGGAGAAGGAACCGCUGAAUUUUUUUUCUUUAAUAAAUAUUUUAACUUUUUUUUAAAAUUUUUUUGUGAAAAUAAUAUAAAAUGAAUAAAUUUGAUUUUUUUAGUUUUUAAAUCUAAUUUUUUUAAAAAAUGAAUAAAAAAUCAUUAAAAAAAUCCACGUGGAAAAUAAAAAAUUAUUUAAAAUGCCACGUCAGCAUUUUUAACGGAAAAUGCUAACGGCGUCGAUUUUAGGACUCAUUUGAAACAAUUUGACAAGUUUUAGGACUUAAAUGCACUUUUUGCAAGUUUUAGGACUGAAAUGCACUUUCGUGACAAGUUGUAGGACUUCUGGAACACUUAUCCCUAAAAGGAAAUAUGUUAGCUUCUCGCAAAAGUUGAAUGAGGUGAAAAAAGCAUUAGAAAAGUAGAGUAAGAAAUUUUCAAAUGCCUAUAAAGAAAUCUUAUUGUUAAGGAAUGAAUUGCAAGAGAUAAUGAACUCCCAAACCCAGUCUUGUAACAGGGAGAGAGAAAAGGUUCUUAAAUGGGAAAUUGAGAAAAGAUGGAGUCAAGAAGAGAUGUUUUGGGGGGCUGCGCUCUAGGAUUAAUUGGUUGAAAUGGGGCGAUAGAAAUACCAAAUUCUUUCAUACAACAACUAUUCAAAGAAGGCAACGAAAUCGAAUAUCCAUGCUAAAGAGUUUAACCGAUGAGUGGGUACGGGAGGAGAAAAGCUCAAACUUUUGAUCAUAAAUCAUUUUUGAGAUUUGUACACUUUAGCAGAGCCUCAAAAUUUUGAGCCUAUCAUUGAAAAACACCCCUCCUCAAUGGGGGAGGAUAUAAAUAGAAUCCUAGUAACUGAUGUGACAAUUUAAGAAAUUUAUACAGUAGCCCACCAAUUGAGAGCUACUAAAGCUCCUAGUCCUGACAGUUUGAAUGGGCUAUUCUAUCAUACUAACUGGAAGGUCCUAGAACCAACAACCAUCAAAGAAGUAAGGCAAUUUUUCGAAACAAGGAAGCUCAGCCUAGAAAUUAACAAAAUUCAAAUCACCCUUAUUCCUAAAGUCCCACAUCCCGAGAGCUUGGUACAAUAUCGUCCCAUUAGUGUAUGCAACUUCUCAUACAAGAUCAUCUAAAAAACCCUAGCAAAUAGACUGAAGAAGUGGCUAGGAGUUCUCAUCUUACCGGAACAAAGUGCCUUUGUCAGUGGUCGGCUUAUCCAAAACAAUAUUUUAAUAGUUCGUGAGGUACUACACCAGCUCAGAAUCAUAAAUAGAAAGCAAAAGUUUCAAGCUGUAUUGAAAUUGGAUAUGCAAAAAGCAUACAACAGAAUUAAAUGGGACUUCUUGGAAGCAUGUAUGUUAAAAAUGGGUUUUCAUGCUAAAUGGGUGACCUGGGUAAUGCAAUGUGUUACCACCGUUUCUUUCAAUAUAAAUUUCAAUGGAGAACCACUUCCUUACUUUCAACCCUCAAGAGGUCUACAACAAGCUGAUCCACUUUCGUCAUAUCUUUUUAUUAUAGUGACAAAUAUACCCUUGGUAUUAUUGAAACAAGCUUUAGAGCAAAGCACUAUUAAAGGCAUUCAACUGAACAAGAAUUGUCCUAUACUAACCCACCUUCUCUUCGCUGAUAACUCAAUCUUUUUUUUUGGAUGGGAGUAUAAAAAAAUGUCAAAGUGUAGCUGAGAUUUUGAAUAGCUACUGUUUCGCUCUAGGCCAAGCUAUAAACUUAAAUAAAUUAGGGUUAUUCUUCAACAAAAAUUGUCCUUUUACACUCCGCCAAAACAUGCUCAUUGAAUUGCGGGUCCCAAAAAUUGCCAAAACCGGGAAGUAUUUGGGAAUUCCUUCUGAUUGGGGUAAAAAAAAAAAUGUUCACUUGGAUAUUGGUUAGAGUAAACAUGAAAUUAGAAGGGUGGAAGGAAAAACUUAUGUCCACUCAUCAAAGCAGUAGUACAAGUUCUCCCACUAUAUGCAAUGUCAUUUUUUAAAAUUCCAGUUUCAAUUUGUCGAAGUAUUGAAAAAAAAGUCGCAAACUUCUGGUGGAAUACUAAUGAACAAAAAUCCGGAAUACACUGGAAGAAGUGGCAUAUUCUCAAGAAUAGGAAAGACAAUGGAGGUUUGAGAUUUUGAGAUUUAAUUGCCUUCAAUAAAGCCAUGCUCGAUAAACAGGCAUGGCAUAUGAUGCAAAAUCCUCCAUCGUUGUGGUGCCAAUUACUAAAAGGUCUAUAUUUCCCUCAUUCUAAAUUUUGGUUAGCUAGAAAGGGGUAUCAACCUUCAUGGGACUAGCAAAAUCUUCUAAUGGGCAGAGAUGAGAUUCUUCCUUUAAUAAGAUUGGUAGUAGGGAACAGAGAAAAGAUUAAUAUCAAAGAGACAAAAUGGCUUCCUAGAGGAGUCAUAGGAGGACCCGCAAACAGGGAUGAACCAAAAAGGUCUCUGAGCUCAUUCACAGAGAUACGCUAGCUUAGAAUGAACAACUUAUUGGAACUCUGUUCGAUGAGCAUACAACUAAUGAAAUUCUAACAAUCCCAUUAGGUUCCCAGGCAAAGAAGGAUAAAUUAUGCUGGAUAAACACAAGCACAAGAGACUAUAUUGUUAAAAGUGGGUAUAAUAAAAUCAUAGAGAAUGAAGAAUAAAACAACAACACCACAACCUCUACCUCUCACCAAAUCCUUAAAUCUCUUUAGACAAAGAUCUAGAAGGCUAAAACAAGUCGAAAAUCAAUUUUUUCUUAUGGGGAUUAUGUCAAAACGCGUUGCCGACAAAAGAAAAUCUACAAAAGAUAGAUAUAGUGGAAGAAAAUAUGUGUGAUUUAUGUAAACAAAACCCAUAAAUGAUAGAGCAUCUCUUCUUACUUUGCCCUUGGACACAUCAAAUUUGGAUGGAUCCUGCACUACAAAUUCAGAUCUCACCUUAUGAACUUAGUCGAAUAGAUGAAUGGUUACUUAAAUUCAGUAAUACCUCCGCAAGUUUCAACCUCCUUGCAUCUAUCCUCUGGCACAUUUGGAAAGAAAGAAACAACUCUGUUUUCUGCAAACUAAAGCCAAAUCCGAAGCAUCUUAUAAGCUCAGCCGUGCCGGAAAAUCAGUGCUUCAACAAUUGGGAAAAGGCGAAGAAGAAGGGGAAAGGUGUAAAGGAAGCCUCACCUCAGAUCUGGUUUGGCCCAAGCGAAGACACUCUCAUAAUCUAUAUAGAUGGAACUUUCUUGCUCAGAACGACGAUCGGAGCAAUAAGUUGUGUUUGCCGAAACAAUUAUGAAGCUUUGAUGGAUAAAUUUGCUAGAUCAGUAAGCGUAAACUCUGCUAUGCAAGCUGAGGCUUUGGCAAUGAUGGAAACCCUAAAGUUUCUUCUCUCCCAAAGUGAACGAAGUCUACUUCAAUCAGAUUGCAAAGUACUUAUCCUGAUGACAAUGCUCGUGGGAAAUAGAACCAAUUCUCAUUGAGGCCAAAAAUUUGCCACUGGGCUUUGCUAAGUUACAUUUGGCCCAUUGUAGCAGAGAAUUAAAUUUAAUUGCGGACUGGAUUGCAAAAACCCAAAUAAAUGGGUCCUUACCUUUAAAUUGGUUAUCCAACCCCCUGGAAGCCCUAUGGGCCUUACUUUGUUCGGAUUCGAGUCUUUUGUAUUCAAACUCUUUGAGUUAGCUAAUGAAAAAUUUAUUUCCUGACCAAAAAAAAAAAUUAGGGACUAAAUUGAACAUUUAGGAAUAGUUCGCGGAUAAUAUUGAAUGAAUGAAAAGUUCAAGAAUGACAUUGCACAUUAAAUCAAAAUUCACAAUCUAUUUAUAUCGUUAACCCUUUACUUGUAUUGCUAUUUUUUAUGCAGGCACGUUUGGCCCAGAAAGAUGAAAAACAUUCACUAUCAGAGGUAGGUCAAAAAGAUGAUUCAAGGAUUAAAGCAUGAAUUUCAAAAACUAUGGAAUGUUAUAUAUAGUAAAAUAACUGGAAAAUUGAUUAGUAUUGAUAUGGCUGGACGAGAAGAUGAGUUGUAAUUCUUUUUCAUUAUUUGUUAUUGCUUUUUUCACCGAUGGAUUUUGUAUUUAGUUCUUAGUACUACUUCGGAAUGUUCAUAAACUCCUGAUUAGCGUUGGCAAUCCAUUACCGAUUUACCCGACAAGUAAGUUUCCAGUCUUCUUUUUCUUGCCAAAGAUAUCGAAAUUCACCGGUAAUUUGGAAAUUUGACCAACGCGGAAUUUUUCCAGUUCUUUAGCAGACGGGACCAGUGAACUUUUGUAUGUUAAUCUAACUAUCUCUACCUUGAAAAAUUCUCUUAGCAUCAAAUGUUAGCUUUAUAUUCUCCAAAUUAGACAGAGUUAGAUUAUGAAACACGACAUCAAACACUGUAAAUAAUAUACUACUAAUGACAUUUAGCAGAUUAACCACAAUUAGUGUCCGUCUCCUUUUAACUGCAUGUAUUACUGAAAAUCCAAUGAUGAAUCACAUUUUAGAUACCAUCGUUAUAUUGGCAAUCCAUAACUUUGUAUACACUUUCGGAAUCGGUCACCAAACUUAAGCACAAUUACAAAAUCUCUCUGCAUCAUUUAUUCUUUCCCUUCUCCCCACACUCUUGCUUAAUUUCGCUAUACAUUUCUAUACAAUGACAAAACGCAUCGCUUGCUGAAGCUCAAGAAGACGUGGACGUGGACGCGGGUGUCCCCGACGACGGGUUGAAGGCGGCCUGCUCCCCGCAGCUGAGCACCUCGUGCGGGCCGGCCUCCUCGCGGCCAACGCCCAUCAGGUCAAGGUAGUACUGGUAGUGGGAGACCAUGUUGUUCAUGUGCUCGUCGUCGCCCUUGCCGCAGACGUCGUCGCCAUAGAGGAUGUUCAUGGUGGCACCGAACCCGGGGACCCGCUUGGCCAGGGUGUCGUUCUUCGUGGGCUUCCAGUUGCCGACGAACACGUCGUGGGCCGACGGCUGGUGCUUCUUGUCCGGUGUCAUCCACCGCCAGAUCGCCGCCUGGAAGGCCAGCGUCGCGUUGUUCUCGAUGUGCUCCGGGUUGUUCAGCAGGUCCACCUUCAGGGCCUGCCCCGCUUUUCCGUAGUUGUAGUUCCUAAAACAUACGGCAAAAUCAGGCAAAAUAGAGCUCAACGCCUAAUCGAAUUCUCCAGGAUCCAACAUUGUAUUUUCCUGGCCUGGGCUCAGCGCAUCGAAAUAGAAACUAAUUGCAAAAGUGAAUUGUGGAAUUGAGAUCGACAGGGUGCCUGAAAGAUCGGAUCGUAAUUAUGCUUUGCUUUUAGUAAGUUAAAUAUGAUCGCUAGAAGUAAACUUAUGGGUAAAAUCUUCUCAAAAUAUAGAGAUUUCAAAUUUAGAUUAGUCUCAUUUUUAUAUUUCCUAAGUCACCCUGCCAUUUUUCCCUCACACUCAUUCAAAGAAAGCCAUUUACUUUCCUAACCUCCUCUUUUUAAUUAAUCUCCAAAAUUUCUUGUGCUUACCUAUUUCAUACAUAAUUACUCAUUUUCUUUCAAAGCAUGAUCACCUAAUUAUACACACCCACAAAGCGCGUGCUUCAACCCUAGUAUCACGUCAAUUGAAGAUCUGAUCGACAAGAUCUAUACAAUCACAUUGGUCAUAUGGUGUUAUCAAUUAAAGUUAGAAAUCUCUAACGAUUCUAACAAUUUUACAACUUAAUUAAGAUCAGUAUCAUGUCUUAAAAAAAAAACUUGGAUUGUGGGAUCAGAUUAUGUGAAUCCAAAUCGAGAAUAAUUUACCCACGGAUUCAGCUUGCCCAUCGUUCCGAAAGGCUUCAUCUCUCCAUUUAAGUCCGUCGCGAACUAACAACAACCAUGUGCGAAAAAAAGGUAAUAGGUCCAAUCUUUAGGCCCGACCUGCUCGACGAUCGCCUCUACUUUCGACAUCUUCCAUCUCGAACUUCAAUAAUUUAAUAUGCGAACGAUGAACUCAUGCGUCUAUAGAGCAAAAUUACCAGUAGAGGGGGAUGGCGCCACGGCCGUAGUAAGCAACGCCGGGAGUGCAUGGGUAGGUGUACUUGAAGGAAUCGUCGCAGUAGGACUGGCUCGGGCUCAUCUCCUUGUUGUAGCAGAGCCCCCACGCCAACGGCCCUCCGGUCGCCACUCCAUACCCGCCUGAAUUUCACGGCAAAAAUCGAGAUCAGAACACGUUUCGCUUGUGAGUGAAGUGAUCGAUGUGUGAAGUUCGGAGUCGGGUUUUCGCUUACAGGAUGUUUUGCUCCCAACGUGGCCGAGGAAGGCGGCGACCUCCUUCAUCGCGGUGACCUUCCCGCCGCUGGUCCCGAACCCAUGGGGCUGGUACUCCGCGGCUGCGGUGAUGAACGAGUGGUAGUCCCAGAAGCCGGCCGCGUGGGCCACGGGGGAGUUCCUCUUGGAGAAGAGGUUCUCGAACUGGUACGCCUGGAAGUAGUCGGAGAUG
rnacentral:lncRNA from 1 species